UUUUUUUUUGGGUUAUUAUUGUGAAGUAAUGUUCAGUCUCCGUCUCUAGAUCUGGUGACAGAUCUCAGCCUGUGUUAAGAAUACAAACCCUAAGGGUUUUAUCUGACAAGUUGUGUGAACAUCUGUUUAGACAACUUGCACUCUCGCCUUUUCCAUCUUACUAUGACUCAUCUGUUUUAACUAAUGUCAUAGGUCGGAUAAUUUUUUUCUAGUAAAGGUACACUGUGGCCAGAUUUGUUGCUCAAUGUACCAAACUCAGGUAUCCUAAAUAUGAUGGUCAAAAUCAUGCAGUAUUAACCGACCAAAAAAAUCAUGUAGUAUUAACCGACCAAAAAAAUCAUGUAGUAUUAGUCUAUUAGAAACGUGAACUCAAUAAUGGCAUGCAAUGUCUAAGCAGUUGGAAGCAGCAAUAUAGCGAGUACAGUCAGUUGCCCAGCAUUGUUUGGCUUUCCGACACAAUAUUACCAUGGGCCCAUAAAUACUAAAUGAAAGAAGCUGAACACAUAUGUUGCCGUAGAUUGUGAUGCCGAAUCAGUUAGAUGUGAAAAUAGAAUGAUUAGAAUGAGGUGCCUAACAUUUUUUUGUGUUACUACAUGAUUUUACCAUGUCCUUAACAUAUAGGUAACGAGCCUGUUACAAAUACAAGCACCACGAGGAAAGAUAACCUACGGGUCUGUAUGCCUUGCAAGCAAAAUGUUCUUGUCUCUACUCUCCUGUUUCCAUUUGAGAUAUCAGAAGAAACUGAAGCAUGGAGCUCUGCUGUAUAUCAACAUACAAGUCUUCUAUUAUUUACUAUGCGUGCCCUUACCUGCGUAUUAGCUCUUGAGGUUAAAAGUGGUGUCAUCCUUGAGCUAAAAAGGUGCCUCAUCUUUGAGCUAAAACGUUGUCUCAUUGUAAAUUGGCGAUGUCUGAGCAGUUGGAAGCCAUGGUAGCAUCAAUUGCUCAUCAUCAUUAUUUGCGUCGCCGACGCGAAAUUAUCGUACCAUACCCUCAACAUAUAGAUCAUUGCGGCCACCUAUAAAUACAAAAUCUCUUUCGAGUGAAUAUAAAUACAAAAUCUUAGUGUUUUGUUUCAUGGACUUAGACAUGCAAAGCAGUGCGGAUAGCAUUCUCAGUAGCAAAUAUUGGUACGUACGUGUGCAAAACAUAAACAAGUUGAUGCAGAGAUUCAAAUGGUACUGAAGGAUUUGAUUUCGCCAUUUAUAUAAGGUGCACCAAGACCAACACUAGGAAGAAAAAUGAGUAAUCAACGAGGAAUUAACCCUCAAAGACAAACGGAGAACAGAUGGCCGUGUGCAGCUGGCCCGGCCACGAGCAUGACCCUACGCCGCGCACCGGCAACGCGCGCACGGUCCGAUCGAGCCAUCGGCAUCCGCUCGCCGAGGCUUCUCCCCAAGCCGCGCGAGGCCAUCACGCUGACACCCGCGCCCGGUUGUUCACGUGGUUCCACCUGACCGCGCGAUCGCGAUCGGUGGCCUCGUCGGCAGGCCGCCCCGCGCGUCGUGCCGUCCGUGUGAGCUCAGGUCUCUCGCCACGACGACGAUAAAACGAGAUUUGUGCCUUGUCAUGAGUCGUCGUCAAUGACCAAAUUAUCAUCUCUCAUACAAACAACGUUGGCGCGACAUUGUGGUUUUGUAUAGUUCUUGCUCGAUUGUUCGGUUUAUAAAUAACUGGUAAACUGCUGGUAGGACUGGCUCUAACUACUCAGCAGUGAACAUGUUGUCUACUUAGAACCGUUGGGAUGUUAGAGAAAACUGAUGCGAGACUAUGUCCAACAAUUAUCCUAUCCAUUAUGAGCACGGUCUGGGAUUUCCUUUGAUUUGUUCUAUGCCGCUGCGCCUCUCCGCUACUACUGCGCCCGCCCGCACAUCCACACCUUGUUUGUCCUCUCCGAACGUACGCGCGGUGAGAGGGUGUCAAACACAGGUGAUCGAUUCAACAAUUCCUUAACAUCCCACUGGAUGCAAUCACUUAUAUGAUUAGAAUUGCAUGGUGUUGCUACAAUUUGUCAUGUCCCUAGUGAGCAUUCCAUCUCUACAAGCUGGGAGCAGCAAUGGACGUCAGGAGUAAAAGGAAUAGCAGACGGAAGCAGGCAAGGAGGAGUGUCUGAAAUAUACCGGGUGCGCAAGAGUGCGUUGCGUGUUGGACGAACGACAGAGCGUGCAGUAGCGCGUGUGUGUGCUGUGUAUUAGCUGUAAACGAGUGUUGCUUAGUCAUUUGAUCAUGACUGUUAGAAGUGGGCCUAGGUUGUUGUAACCGAAGGGGCUAUAAAGUGUACGGAACACAUGGAAGAGAAUCAAUGAAGAUUUGGACCUCCAUUCUGAACCUUUCUGUUGCUUCCUCCUUGUUCUCUUCUUCCUUCCCUUCCAGAGUUCUUCUUCCUUAAUUUCCCUGUAUUCUUCCUUCCUUUCUAGUCAGAUCGCAGCUCAGACUCAUGAGACGUGACACAAUUUUAUCAUCGUGUGGCCAUUGCCUUGACAUUUAUGCUACAAGAUUUAAAAUCUUAUUCCUUGUGUACAGCUUCAAUCGUCAGAAGUCAGCGAUGUUCAAUUCGAACGAGAUUGGCACUAAGUGUCGACUCGGAUUCUGAUGAUUAGCAUUAGGUCCGAGCUGCCGAGUAGUGAGAUUGUAACUAUGUUUCCGGCUAUGAUAUCUUCAGUUUAGUCGAAUUCAGGUUUCUUUGUUACCGUUUGAAUUCUUUGGCAAACAAUUCAGUGUGGAUUCGUAAGCUGAAAGGACAAUGGCUUCCAUAGUAACUUUGAGUUUAUCUUAAGGCCCCGUUUGGGUCCCUUCAUUUUAAAGUAAUUGGAAUCUAUUUAAUGGAGUAGGCUAAUUUAUGUUGGAAUGUGGCAUUCCACAAAUUUCCAAAGUUUAGAUAUAAGCCUAUCUUAAAUUCAUGGGGUGGGAGAUGGAAAUUGAUUCUAUAGAUUAUGGUUAUUAGAAUGGAAUUCAAUUCUUAUAGCACGCUCUUGGACUCGCUUCUCUAUAGUAGAAGUGCAGCAUAUAAGUAUCUCUCCCAUAUCACCAACUAUAAUAUACAACUAUAUUCCACAUACAAUUAUAUUAGCUUAAUUAAUUUGUGUCUAAAUUAUGAUUAUUAGGAUGGAAUUCAAUUCCAAUGAUCCAAACGGGACCUAAGUGAAAUUUUUUACAAUGUCAGUGCCAUGUGCCCAUGUGUAUCAUAAGCAAGAAUGGAAGGUUUUUGUUGGUACGAGUGGUUCCAGUUGCAAAUAUGUAGCUAGUCCUCCUAACGGAAAGUGUGCAAAACAUAAAAGAAUUGGCGAAGAAAUGCAAAUAGCACCGAGCUUAUGGCAUAAACGAUGUCAGAUUUUGUUGAUCAAUGUACCAAAACUGAGUUAUAUGACAAAUAAUGGUCAAAUUCAUGUAUUAGAUAUUUAGACAUGUGAACUCAACCAUGUCAUACUUUUAUGUAAAGAGAAAAAUAAGCACACGAUUUCUUUGUGAUUUGUGAUGCCUGAACAGUUGGAAUGGCAAAUUAAUGUUGGUACGUGUGCAAAAACGUAAACAAGUUGAAGCAGAUCAACGAGGAACAAAAAUGAGUAAUCAACGAGGAAUUAACCCUCAAGACAAACAAAGAACAGAUGAAGACAGAUCGAGCAUGACCCUACGCGGUGCACCGGGAACGGCGUACGGCCGAGCCAUCAGCAUCCGAUCCGUCCGGCGAGGCUUCUACCCACGCCGCGCGGGGCCAUCACGCGGCACCCGCGCCCGGUCGUUCAUGUUGUCCACGUCCACCUGACCGCGCGAUCGGUGGCCUGGCCGGCCGGCCCUCGCGUGGUGCCGUCAGAUCAGGUCUCGGGCCUGGGAGAGACGAGAUUAUUCUCGUGAAUGGCAUGGUCCUUGCUUGUUUGUUCGGCUUAUAAAUACCUCGUAAACUGCUGGUAGGACUAGCGUGAACUAUUGUGAAAAAUACAGCGAACAUGUUGUUUGCCUAGAACCGUUGGGAUGUUAGAGAAAACUGAUGCAAGACUCUGUCUAGAGAUUGUCCCAUUUUCCUAUAUGCUAGCUUAGAUAAUUAGAAUUAUAUAGUGUCGCUACAAUUUUAUCACACCGGUGUGACUGGCUCGACAUUUCCACCGAAAGAUUUAAGGUUUGAGAUUCCUAGCAUGCAGCUUCAUUCGUCGGGAGCAAGCUAGGUUUAAUUCGACCGAGUUUCAUGCUCGGUAUUGAUUCAGAUUUUGGUGAUUGGCAUAAGAUCUGCAACCUUCCAUGAUUGUGGCUAUCAUUCCGUCCUAUGACAUCUCCAACUUAAUUGAAUUCAGAUUUCUUUUUAAUUACCGUUUGAAUUCUUAGCCAAACUCAGUUCGAUUUAAGUUUUUGGGUCUGUAAUUUGUGGACCGUAAGCAACUUAAUUGAAUUCAGAUUUCUUUUUAAUUACCGUUUGAAUUCUUAGCCAAACUCAGUUUGAUUUAAGUUUUUGGGUCUGUAAUUUGUGGACCGUAAGCUGAAAUAGUAAGUUUGAGUUUAUCUUACAUGGAUUUUGGACGAUGUCAGUGCCAUGUGUAUCAUGAACGGCAGGAAUGGCAGGUUUGUUGGUAUGAGUGGUUCCAGUUGCAAAUAUGUUGGUAGUAUUCUUAAUGCCAAAUGCGCAAAACAUAACCAAAUUGAUGGAGAAAUGCAAAUGUCACAGCAUGAUCCCCUGCAACGCUCCUCAACUCCUCAGGGCGCCGCGCCGGUUCAUGCAUCACACGACACCCUCGCGUCCGGUCGUUCACGUUCGAUCGGUGGCCUGGCCGUGCCCGGCCCGGGCACCAUGCCAUGAGCUAGGCCUCGGGCCACGAACGAGAUUUGUGCCUCGGAGACGCGAGAUUGUCGUGAGUUAUCCAAGACCGAACGAUAGUCCAGCCCGGCUCACAAGUUAAAUACAAUAAUGUUGGCAACAUUUUGCAAUAUGGCAGUUCUUGCUUGUUUGGCUCAAGUACCUCAACCAUUGUUUACCAAGAACAUUAGGAUGUUGGAAAAAACUGAUGCAAGGCUCUGGCUAAGCACGGCGCCGAUUUAGUGUAAGUAACAGCGCCGAAACCGUGUCAAAUGAGAAGUUACUUACAGCUGGUCUAUAACAAGCUGAAGACGCAGAGUGAACAAUGCAAAAGACUGAGCUACAACAAGCUUUUUCUGCCAAAGACCACCUCCAUUAAGGUGGAGCUCAUGCAGUGUCUAUCGCUGUACAUUUCACUUUAGGUAUUGUUCAUACUGUUUAUUUCGAUCACCUAGCCAGUCAUAGCCAGUAAUCAUCGGUUCAAAGUCAAACAUUCACACCAUCAGGAUAUUCUGACUGAUAAUAUGAAUCAAUCUGUUCUCAGUAUGUCCAUUUUCCAGUUUCCAAGGAUAGGGGCGCAUGUCAUUGCCACCAGAGAAUGCUAUAAUACAAUAACCCAGCCAGCGAAACCAAAAACUACUAUCGUUCUUCUGACCUUCCUAACUAAACAUUAAAUUAAAACACAAAUCAGCGUGGCACCGAUGAAAUAAACAGUCAACUCUUGUCACAUGAUCCAGGCUCUAAUUCCAUCGGUGUCGGCGGUGGCUCAGGUGACGAUCCCUAUGGUUCCACAUCCACUCCGCAGGCGGUUUCAAGGGAACGAUUGAGAGUCUCCGAUCCUCAUGUGAUCGGAUUUGGAAGCACGGAAUCCUUAUGUGACUGAAUUUGGAAGCACGAUGGAGAGGCAUGCAGGCGGCACCUGACUGACUGCUCAUGCUCUAUUCAAUAUUCACACACAGCACACAGCACCUCCCAUCCUAGCGAGACUCUGCUUUUAUUUGUGCUUGUUGUCUCUAAUGAUGCUUUGUUCGUCUUUUUGGGCUUGCAAACUCCAAUUGUUAGGCGUGAGUGACAAGAGCAAGCAAAUCGAGUCACAUCAACGUUGGCUGCACGAGAUCCUCUCGUGGCCAACUGACUCUUCACACGCUAUCAAUGUAGAAGUACACUUACACCACGCCGACAACAUCGUACUCCCUCCGUCCCGCAAAGAGUAUCCAUUUAGACUCUAAAAUUUGUCCACAAAGAGUAUCGUUUUACCUCCUAGUAAACGACAUAUAAUUAAAGCAACGCUCGUACCAACAAAAAAAAAAGAGUAUAUGGAGAAACGUGUAGAGCCAAUCAAAUGAUGAAUUGAUGUUAUUUCUUUGGUUCUAAUGCACGUGCAUUUAUUUAGGAUUCAGAAAACUAAACAAACAGAACGAUUUUCAAUCACAAUUAGUACUAGUUAUUAGGGGUAACAUGAACAUUUCUCAUCACUAUUGUUGUGUCUGAAAUUUUGUAAAAGGACACUCUUUGCUGGACGGAUGGAGUAUAUUCAUAUAUAAAAGCCCGAUGGUCUUGACUCGAGCGAGUAGCUAUUCAUAUUUCUGAUAGGACCUAUCAUAUUAUUACUACCCAGCAGAAGAGCAUCGCCAUUGUUCUUUCAGGAUGCGAUAUUAUAGGAAACUAAAAUAAAGCUAUCACUAAACAAGUCAGCGUCCCACUUCCACAAUCAGUAUGUAUAAUUUCUGCCAUAUAAUUGGGAUCCAACAUCACAAUGGAAUUUAUCUAAUUCAAGACUAAUAAUCAGGUUUUAUUGUCGUGUCUAGGCAAUAUGAAAAAGCCCUUUGGUGGUUAAGUUUAGAAAUAUUCAUAGGUUUUCUGGAGUUGUCCUGUGUUUGGGAAUACACUAGUGUCGGAGACAGAAGGCCAAUCAAGAGGGUCAUUAGUAUUAAUAUGUUACCAAAUGUCCACACUUAUCAAUUUCUAAUCAUCAAUUUAGUAGCUGAUUAAUAUUUUUUUAAUUGGCAAAGGGGGCCUACGUGUAGCUCCCCCUUGACCUACACUUAUGGUCUAAAUAGGCAAGCAGCGAGCGCAAUGGCGUCGCGUACGACCGCCGUUGUUGCGGUGCUUUCGUUGCCCAACCUAUUUGGAUGUGUAUGUUAUGUUCGAUCGAUACAUACAGUGAUCGACACCAUUCCAUAUGAUUCCUAGGUAUCAUAAUGAUAGCAUGGUUGGACUCUCCCUAAUGGUUAGCUAGAUGGAGGCAACCAGUUCCAAUUUUUUUAAACACAAAACAAACACAAACUCUCACAUACACGUGAUCGUAUGGCCUUAUCCGCGCAGCGGCGCUGUAAUCUUUCCUUUAUUUUCCGAAUACAUGGUGCGGUAAACUGAUGAACUCUAGUGUGUUGAUUACCGAAAUGGGAAGGAGAAUUAGAGCCUCCUCACCCUGUUUGCGCCGUUGGCGCGAGAUUUGUCGUGAGUGGUUCACAUAAAAAAAAAACAGCUCAUGGCCCUAACAUGAUAUGACUGCCCAGCUCACAAGUUAAAUAAAGGUCCUCCUGGGAACAUCCAACUUCAAGCUUAGAGCUUACAUUUGGUUUGAUCGGCUUAGCAACCUCAAUCUGUUCUAGGGUUGGAGUGGAAGUUUUGAAAGGUUAAAAUUAGCAUGUCACUGAUGUAACAGUUAUGCAAGAGUGCAUGACUGCAUGAGCCAUGGUGCUAGAUCACUGUGAUGUUAGAGGAAACUGAUGCUGGACCGGAUUAUAUAGUAAUUAGGGGGUGCUAAUGCACCCUAAAAAAUGAAAAAAACAGUAAAUAUGUUCAAUUUUUCACCAUAUAUGCACCCCUAAUAAUCAAACUCUAUGCACCCACAAGGCAAGUGCAUCCCCUCCAAUUUACUCUAACUUCGCCACUAACCAGGUGCAAUAUGGUACCGAGUAGUUGUCGAGUGGAUGAAUCAAAUAUUUCUCGAGUGGACUAGUCAUUGUAGAUUGAGACUGAUUAAUGUGCAUUGCAUAUAGAGAAGGAUUUGUAGCUCUUACAGAAAGCAUUAAAUUCAAUUCAUGAGCAGCCUGGUACAUCAGUCUAGUCACGAUAAAUCGAUCAUGUUCAUGGUGAAUUCACAAAGCUUCUAUAUUAAGUUUAUGAGCAUGCAUGUUCAUUAGUAAAUCACAUCUUGAUUGAUUGUUCGAUCAAUCUAUACAUCAUAGUAAGCCUGAACCAUUCGCCUUCAUCCAUUCGCCGUUACCAGCCAUAUAUAAUAAAUGUGAUUGAAGAGAUGGACAUAUAAAUGUGUGCGCUGUGUUUGAUUGAUUCCGAUUUGGCUAACCUGAGUUUUGCCGUGGCAGAUGCAGGCGCCAUCCAAAACGUAGCCCACAACAUGUACAUCAGUACAUCCAACGUGCCUGAUCCUGUCAUCCAUCUUGGAUGCCUUUCGUGCUAGACUGCUAGUGCACACCCUCGCGCGGGAAACAAGCAGUGCUAGUGCAUGCGGUCAUUGUCUUAGGCUCCCAGCAACCAGCAUGAUCCUGCGCCGCUCCAAGCCGUCCAUAUGUCCGUCCCCGAUCCCCACGGCGCCGCGCUGGGUCAUGCAUCACGCGACACCCGCGUCUCGUGCCGUGAGCUCAUCAGGUCUCGAUAGAACUACCAAGGUACGCGGUAGAACGAGAUUUGUGCCUCAGAGACGAGAUUGUGGUGAGUCGUGUCCACGACUGAACGGUCGUCCAGCCCGGCUCAUAAGUAAGUUAAAUACAAUAAUGUUGGCAGCAUUGCAAUAUGGUAAUUCUUGCUUGCUUGUUCGGCUUAAAUUUCUCAACCACCGAGAACAUUAUUAGGAUGUUAGGGAAAACUGAUGCAAGACUCUGCCCAACGUGGAUGCUGAUUCCGAGUGAGCUGAUGAGCGGAAAGUUGACGCAACAUCUGAAUCUCAGCCUUCUGUGUUGAAUAACACGAAGAAUCUGGGAGAUCUGCUUAACUCCAGUGUAGGCUUCGAAUCGGCUCGCGAGUGGUGCAAGACAUGUCAGUUAAUUUUACUCGAAAAUUGAUAAGGUAAACAUUAAAUUCUUGAGCUGAUCGGCGGCGAAGCCUCUCGAACUUAUGGGUAAGCGUUUUUGGAAUAAACACCACAACAGAUAGAUAUUUAAUGUAGGCAUGCCGUGUAAAUAAAUGAAACACUAAUGGCAUGUGCCAUCGGCUAUGUCAGCCGACAGGCUAAGAUAAAGCAUUGUAACACAACAUCUAUAAAAGGAACCCUCGUUAACCACGCGCUUAUCAGAUAAGCUAACAGAUCUAGCCAAUGUCUUGAUAAGUGUAUUGAACUCAGACAAGAUAACACGAAUGAGAGGGCAUUGGCAUCAAUCUACUAGCCGAUGCAACCUUGCGUGCUAGAAGGAACUUGUCGAAUCUACUCUACUCAUACUCCUAGGGUUUUGACGGCGUGGUGCCGAAAGGUUGUAUUGAUUGAUUGAUGAUUAUUUUUUACAAGGCUCGUGGGUUUAUAUUUAUACCUGGAGCAAGCUAAAAUCCUAAUCGAAUACGACAUGAUUAUUACAGCUAUUUUUAAAAACUACUAAAGAUAAAUCUCCACGCUUUCCCUUAUUUAGUGGAGUCGAUUUUGCUUCGGACUGGCCCGUCUGGUCUUUUAUCGGCUUCUGGAAUCCUGGACAACUGUGGCUGGUCUUGGUCACGCGGCACCAACUUCAGGCUCUUUCUCUUUAUUCUAUCGGCUGUCAGAACCUUAUUUACAGCGGUCGACUCUGGUCAAAAAACUGACGUCAACAAGUUACUUACAGCUGAUCUGUAACAAACUGAAGAUGAAGAGUGAACUAGGCAAAGACUGAGGUGUAACAACCUUUUGGUGCUGGAGGUCACCGUUAAGUGGGUGCUCAUGCAUCCAUGCUUUUCUUUUCACUUGGGGUAUUGUUUAUAUUCUUUUGAUGGUGAUCACCUACCCGAAUACCCGAUAGUACGAAUUGUUCAAACUCAAACAUUGACACCAGAAGCAUAUAUGAACAUCAAGAAAUUAAAAUACAUUUCCAAAUUGAUGAUAUGAUUGAAUAUGUUCUCAGUAUGUCUCGUCGUGUAUGCUGUACCGUAUACCAAGCAGAUGCCGGUGGCCUCACCGCAGUACGCAGCCGACAGCUCCGUGGGCCAUGCCACCUCUCAGGUCCACAAGCUUCCGCCAGUUUGGACCUGGCCACCACUCAAGGCAACCUGCUGUAUGCUCGUGUCACGUAGAGUUCUUCGCGCCACAAAAUUACCGUGAUCAAGCUAUCUAGAUGACUGACUCUUCAUGCGAUAUACAUCAAUGUACACAUCACCCAGUCAGUCCACCUCAGACUUCUCAUAGCACUUACCAUGGCACCAAUUAUGUUCUUUGAGGCUUUUGAGAUGGUACUUAGCUAGAGAAAACUGAGCUUGCGACAAGUUCCAUCGCGUUCGGACCGACUAGCCUGGACACCAAUUUAUACCCCUCUAUCUCCUUUGACAUGCUUAAGAUGCAGAAGACUAUAUCUCUCAAGGUUACUGGGAGAGUCAGUAUCUAGCUACGUACCGCUCCAAUUCAACCUCACAAAUGCGGUCUCCCUGCGUUCUGCUGUUUUCAGAUUUAUCAUGGCACCAAUUAUCCUGUAACAGAAUUAGUUUAUUUUUACGAAAUAUAAGGCCGGUGAUUUAGUACGUGUAGUUAUGAGGAAAACUAAGCCUGACCUGGAGCAAGGACUUCAUCACAGAAGGAGAAUGCUUUCUGGAUUCGCGGUCAGCUCGAUCGUUUUCUUUCUGAUAAGCUAACUAGGUUAGUAAAUACAGAGGCGCACGAUGAAAAGCUAGCAAAUCUAACGAGGAAGCAAUACCAAUUAAUGGCACGGCUGGUGCGCCCGCCACGUUUGUCCUCACCCGCUGAGCGCGCGUCGCCGCACGGGGCCAUCCGUCCAGCCAGUUUAUGCGCCUGCAUGCCCUCGGCGCAAUCACGCGUGGUGCGGUAAUCUUUUUGUUUUCAAACACAUGGUGCGGUAAACUGAUGAACUCUAGGGUUGAUUACCGAAAUGGGAAAGAGAAUUAGAGCCUCCUCACGCUGUUUGCGCCGAUGGAGCGAGAUUGUCAUGAGUAGUUCACACGAAAAAACAGCUCAUGGCCCUAACAUGAUGACUGCUCGGCUCAUAAGUUCAAUAUAAGGUCCAAGCAACAUCGAAUUUCAUACUUACAUUGUUUGGUUUGUUCGUCUUAGCAACCUCAAUCUGUUUCUAGGGUUGGAAUGGCAGAAGUUUCCAAAGAUCAGAAUUAGCGUGUCACUGAUCUAACAGUUGAGAGUGAGCCGUGCUGCUAGAUUCACUGUGAUGUUAGAGGAAACUGAUGCGGGACUAUGUCCUAAUAUGGUAUCGAAUAUUUGUCCAGUGGCUCAGUCUAAUAUUUGUCGAUACGGGCAGCCGUGGCAGAUUGAGACUGAUAAGUGUACUUUGUAUAAGGGAAUAAAGGAGGAAACUAAGCACGUUGCAACCGUUUUUUUUCUGCAAACGUUAGAGACCACCUUUCAAUUGAUACCACUUUUGUAAAAAAAAAGGUUAAGUUCAAUUCAUGAGCAACCUGGUACAUCAGUCUAGUCAAGAUCGAUCAAUCAUGUUCAUGGUGAAUACUUCAAGCUUCUAAAUGAUCUAAAUCACAACUUAACUGUUUGUUUGGUCAAUCUAUAUAGAUAUCAUAAAUCACAACCAUUCAUGAGUUCAUCCAUUCACCACUAUUACCAGCCAUAGUCGUAUAUCUGACGACUGUGACUAAUCAAGAACAAGUGAGAAAUGGACAUGCCAUUCUUUUUUUUUGAAAAGCUCACAUUCGAUUGUUUAGAGGAGCUCUCACACUUGAAUAUAUUUUUUGCCAAUCUACAAUCACCACGGCUCAGUUUCUCCUCCUCCUCCGGUAACAGCGUCGGCGAGCCCACCUUUAGGGUUAGGGGUUCGAAGUUUAGGGUUGUGGGUUGGGAUUACUUGUGGCCUAUUGGCCUAGAAGGAGGCCCGUGGCUGCUCGCCGGCCGACAAUGGUGGUGGUCGAGGUGAUGGGGAGCGGAGGCAGCAAGGCACCGCUAGAUGCCAGGCGACGAGCGACCCUCGGUUGGGCAGAGGCGGCAGGGCGUCAAGCUUUAACCAGUUCAUGUCGAUAGUGGUGGAGGGUGGCGGUGGAGGUGUCAUUGCACUGCCGAAGCUGGGCAGGGAGCUAGCGGCAGUGGGGGAGCUCGGUCGGACAUGAGGAAGAAGACACAAUGGAGAAGCAACAUUGGAGGAGGUUAGUUUUGAGCCCUUGCGGAGGGUGGUGGCUCCGCCAGAGCCAGGUAGAGAGGUAUGGCGUUGGACUUGCAACCAUUUGGGAAGAGACUCGCUUAGCCUUUUGGUGAAAAAUAAAUUGAAAGUAGUGACCCCUCGAAAAACUCGAGUUACACGGUAGACAACCUUUUUUCCAUUAAUUAUGUGUUUUGCGUUUGAUCGAUGCCGGUCAUUGCAAAAUAUUUGGCAAACCCGAAUUUUGGCGUGCCGGAUGUAGGCGGCAUUCCAAACACAACGUGCCUGAUCCUGCCAUCCAUCUUGGAUGCUCUGUGCAACUCAUCAAAAUCAUUACGUUGCUUUCAGAGUUGUAGCGUUGGCACCAGGAAAAUGCCAUGGUCGAUCUAACCAACUGUUUGUGGUGUGCCUUCACGCAAUGAGCACACCACCCAGCCCACACCAUAUAUACCAUAUAAAUGCAUAUUCCAGCGAUCUUGUGCUGUUCCACUUGGCAGGGCGCCCUAGCGCUGUUUUGUCUCGAAUUGCUAGUAGGAUAGGGGCAUAGGGCUAGCAUGCAGUGCAUUCACUAUGCGAACUAAACCACCGAACCUGAGGGUUUUUGCACGAUCGUUGAUGGGAUGUUUGAGGAAACUAUACGAGCUUGGCACUCAACGGGUCAGCGUUUGGCGUUGACAGUCAGUUUCUGUUAUCCCUCCCAAUCGCACGGGAGCAACUAGUUGAUUUUGUGACCAAGCCGGGCAAUCAUGUUCUUUGGGGCUUUUGAGAUGUAGAGAAAACUGAGCUUAUGUUCCAUCGCGUAUGGAACUAAGCUAGCCACCAAUUUACACCUCUAGCUGCUUUGGCACGCUUAACCUGUUACGGAACACAAUCUCUCUCACGGUUACUAAGAGAGUCUGUAUUCGGCUACUGCUCUACUUCAGGAUCGCAGCCGCAGUCUCUAUCCGUCGUCAACAUUGUUCUGCUCUUGUCAGGUUUGAUGGUUUGUUUUGCGGCAGUUUCUUAAAAUUUGUACCGGAAAAUCAUAACAAUAUUUAGAAAAGCAAAUUAAUUUGCACGUUGUGGGUUUCACUUAAACACCUUAAUUUUUUUACGUACAAGAACCAGAUUGGAUGGUUUGUCAUCGCAUCAAAGUCACUCCAAGCAUGACAAGACCCGCUUGUAGUUUCUAGGUCGACCUGUGCAAUACCAAGUCCGAGCGGCUGCAUGCCUGCAUCCACAGGUAAGUCCGAGCAACCUGUGCUUGCGCGCAUACCUUGAACGAUGCCCUUGCCUACUGAUCACAGGCCAUGCUUGUCACCUACGCACGCUCUACCUCCCACGCUGCCCCUCUUCCACCCCCAUGGCGCCAUCCCAACAUUUUCACCCGCGGCCAGCUCUCGAUCGGGUGCACGAUGGAGCCACGGAGGGAGGGAGGUUCUGCCGCCUCGGGGUUCUCAGGCAUCGUCAAGGCGUGACAAGACCACAAGAGCGAGUGAAUCCUCGUGUUGUUAGUGGCGUUGGCACCAUGAAAAUGUCGUCAUCGAGCUAACCAACUACUGUUCGUGGCUUCACGCAAUGAGCACACCACCCGGCCCCCACACCAUACCUGCAUAUUCCAGCGAUCUUCUGCAGUUCCCAACCCAGGCGUCCUAGCGCUGUAUUGUCUCGAAUUGCUAGUAAGAUAGGGCUAGCAUGCAUUGCGUUCACUAUGCAGCCACUAAAACACGAAACCUGAGGGUUUUUGCACCAUCUUUGGUGGGAUGUUGGAGGAAACUGAUAUGAUGUUGGCGCUCGACAGGGCAGCGUUCAUUAGCGACAAUCAGUUUCUAUCAUCCCUCUCAAUCGCACGAGAGGCGAGCGUGAUGAUGGAUCUGAUCCUGCCGCGGGCCGAUCCGGCGUUCACUCACCCGCAUCCAGUGCCCCAUUCCUUUUGCGGCGUACAUCAACAUUACCGCGUUCGGGACCGUCAGCAGGCCAGCAGGCUCCCGCGAGAUGCAUUUUUGAGCAUUGUUAGCGUCUUCACGGAAGAUAUUGUGGGUUAAAUAUUUGGCUCUUAAAGUAAUUCAGACGUACUGGUGUUGACAAUAUAUUUAGCUAGUUAGUUUAUUGAUUGGCCAAUUAGCAGGUGGCAAUCAAGUUAUUCGAAUGAUAUGUUGUUUAGGCAUUUCAAUUGGAUGCAGAUGCGGCGUCAGGAUUGGAGAUCAUCAGGCACAGCAAAUUAGUUCCUCAGGACAAACAUGUAUAUUUCUGCUGGUUUGCAUGGCCAAUCAUAAGGAAGGUAUGCAAGCAUAAAAAUUAAAAAUAUUUGGAAUUCUUGUAGUGUGAAAUUCCCUGCAUCAUUUUAGGCUGAGAUUGCUGUUCGCUUUGAUACCUCUGAACCCUGCUCUGUUAUUUUGCCAUGACUUGCAUCCUGAAAAGAUCAGGAAUCUGGAGGGUGGAGUGAACUCUUCAUCAGAUUUUUCUCAUUCACUCGCAAAUCCAUUCUCACAAUUUUCUUUCGAAGGUUUCAUUCUCAGUAGUCAGUACUGAACUCUCAGCCUCAUCAGCGGUCAAGCAAAGCUAGCACAUGGACGGUGCAUCAGGGACAGGAUGCCACGGAGGAGCCCGAGGUCCUCUGCCCGGGCUGUGCCUGGCAUCAUCGGGUCAGAGAAAAAAAAAAGGGAGCCAGAAUGCUCACAUAGUUUGCGUUGGUGAAAGGUCGUAACUCGUAACACAAAUUUACCGUGACACAAAUAACAAUUCGUUUUUUUAGGGCUGACACAAAUAACAAUUCAUACAAGCAGCCGGACGCGCAUAAAUACGUUGAAGCGAUGUAGCGGCCGGCCUUGCGAUCUCGCGGCUCACUUCCUCCCCUCUUCUGCUCUGUUGCUUGUAGGCUAGCUUGCCUUUGUUGAUAGUGAUCAGCAUGGCACGGAUCGUGCAGCAUAGAGUCGUCAAUGCGCUGCUAAAUAUUAGUGCUAGGAUGUUAGAGGAAACUGAUGCCUUUUCGGUUAUACUAGCCCUCGUCACGCCGAAAGGGCUGAAUAUUUGUUUUUUGAUUGCUCUUUAACUAGAUAUGUUUGGAGUCUGAUUGCAAUAGCAUUAGGCGCUUCGUGUAGAUCAACUUCUUUUGAUCAGCAUGCGGAUGAUCAGUACUGGAUGUGGAUGAAAAAAAUAUAUGCCUCAGUGCAAACAUUACCAUAUGGUUGGUUUAUCGGCAGUGUGCUAGGCGAAAUCUAGAAAUAAAGCUGUUUCGAGGAAAAAUAUGUUAGAGCUUCUUCUGAGAUUAUAUGUUUAACCUCCUCUUUUUUAUCAUAUUGGGUAGUGCUACAGAAGGGGAAGCAGAAGAUAGGAUAACCUUGGAGGUGGGAGAUGAAACACUGAAGGAGACGGCGCUAUACACUACCACCCUUCUGAAGCUACUCAUGAAGAUACAGGGAUGGUGCUGCUCCAGUAAUUGAAGUUCAAAGGUACGGUGGAGAUGUUCACAGAUUGAAGAAAACAUCCGCAGACUUUCCGAUGUCGCUUUUGUUUUUCUUUGGGUCUAAUUCCUCUUAGAUAUUAGUUGGUUUAGCUACCCUUCGUCUGUAGGAGGUUCAAGUUUUGUCUAGAGAAACAGGCCCUAUGUGCUGGUGUUCUCUGGUGUCUUUCGGUAGUCUACUUGUACUGUUAAUUACUCGUUGGCGACAAUUCAAACUCUGUAAUUUUGUUACUUUACAUGGUAAUGAAAUUCGGGUGUGGCUCUUAGUGGAAAACAAGACUAUGAGGGUUUCUUAUUGAAAAUUUCGUGUCCAUGCCCGGUAAGAAAAGUACAGAUGAACCAACAUCCACCAGUUAAUAAUGCAGGUCAUUCUUGGCAGCGGGUAUAUGGGAUAAAGGAAUUAUGAAAUGACUACGUUCAUAUAAAGAUUCUUCCUGUGUAGUAGAACGAGGUAGCAUAUUGCUUUGAUCAAUUGUAUCAAUACAGAGGUCCCGAUCUUAAACCAUGCUAAGAUUCACACUAAACGUACCUGAGUAUGUUUGGCUUGUGACCGUAAAACUUCAUCAAAAUCAAAACGCUGGCAGCACGCUGGCCCCCUCUCACCGCAGUCUGCAACCGACCGUUCCAUGGCACCUCUCACAAUUCCAAAAGCCUUUGCCAGUUUGGACUCAUCACUUCAUCAGCAGGCAACCUAUCCUAGUGUCACGCCAGUGUUCGCAGCACGAAAUUAUUGCCGUGGCCAAGCUAUCUGAAUGACUCUUCAUGCGCUAUCAGUGACACACCACGCCCAGCGUCCCAGCCCCACACCAUAAAUACAUCCUUGCUAGGCAGCGGCACCAAUUGAGUUUGUGAGCAAGCGGGAGCAAUUUUGUUCUUUGGGGCUCUUGAGAUGGUAGAGAAAACUGAGCUUGCGGUUAAACAUGUUCCAUCGAAUCCGGAUCGACCAAAGCAUACCACCAAUUUCGAGCUCCCAGCUCCUUUGACACGAAGGCACAAACGACAUGACUCGCUCACAGUUUCUGAGAGAGUCUGUGUUCACCUACUUGAGCUUGCAGCUGCGGUCUCUAUUCCGUUAUGCUUGGGUGAAGUUAGAUGGGAGCAGUUGAGGUGACCAGGGCAAUCGAUAGAAUUGGGUGUAAAUGGAGGUUGCUGAUUUUUAUUGGACGGACAUAUUAAAUUCAAAGAAGCAAAUCAAUUUGUAUAUUGUGGUUUCAGUUUGAACACCUUCUUGACAUACAAAUAUAACAACUUUUGCGAUUCCACUGCCGCCGUGCAUCUUGGGUUAGCCGGGGAUCGGAGGUAUGAAAAAACAUGUAUAUGUUUUCUGGAUGCAUGUCUCCAACUCUCCGAUUGUUCCGGCUCAAGCAAUUUACAAAAUGAAAACGGCCUGUAGUGCGUAAUUCCCUGAAUAAUUUUAGGCUAAUGUCUAUUCGCCUUUGAUACCCAUGAAAAGAUCAGAAAUCUGGAGCGUGGAGUGAACUCUUCGUCAGAUUUUCUCGUUCCCUCUGCCAGUCCGUUCUCAGAAUUAUGGAUGGACGUGUCACGGGCUUUGCAACUCUGGCCGAUUCCACGCUAGAGAAGAAAAUGGAUAGCUGCAACUGAUGACGACGAAGCUGGCACAACAACUCAAGUGAUACCAAGAUCACAUCAGGCAUAGCAACCUAAGAUAUUCCUCCAUUUCCUAUCUUGCAAACGCAAUCAGGACAGUUGAGCAUUCAGGGACAAUGGAUUGUAAAAACGACAGGGACAAACUUACGUCAAUUCAGAUGGAUAUUAUCUCAUGAUCUAUCCAAACCAAACUAUGUUUAACACAUCAACCAAAAUGCCUACAGGAGGUGUUAGACUCACUGCUUAAGAUCUCAUUAUCUCAAGGGCCUGGGCAAAAAAAGUCACAUUACAACCUGACAUCUACUAUCGACUCACCAAAGAACUACCAUUUGCAACUCCGGGAAAUAAAUAAAGAAGCAGAUGACUGUAGAGUGAAUAGUCAUCACAAGCUCGAUACCAUGUUGAUGACUGCCGCAGGACUAUAGGCUAACAUGGAAAUAUGAACAUCUACUUCAGGAAGGUUGAUGAUAUGAAAAGGAGGGCAUAUGUGACACAUGCCGUGCUCACUUCCAAGUUUCUUGGACCUGGCAGUAUAGGUGGAAUUACAGAUACCAUCAAGAAGGUGCCAAGGAACCAGGAAGCAAAGAAAGAUCCAAACCUGAAACAUCACAGAAAAAUUAGGGUCAGGAAUCGCUCACCCAUGCAUGCACAAAAGGUUAAUAAUCACCAAAAGAACUGAGAACAGUACAUGUUAAUCUCAGUAAUAAUUGACAGGAAAUUUAGACAGGCCCACUUUGAACAUGCUAUUAUCAGCCAACACUGCUACAUUCUACUCCCUCUGUUCCAAAUUAUUAUUCGUUUUGCCUUCUCUAGAUACAUAGCUUUUGUUAUGAACCUAGAUAUAUGUAUGUCUAGAUACGUAGCAAAAGCUAUGUAUCUAGAAAAGCUAAAACGAUUAGUAAUUUGGGACAGAGGGAGUACUUCUUAAUCUCUAUUACCGGGUCAAACAAUUAUGAUAAGCUUAAAAUGACACAUCAGAUUAAAUGAGCUCUAAAGAGUGCAAGUUGUUGCUGUGCUCAAUCGCGAAUGGCUCCAGCCCACCACAGUAGCUGUCUCAGAAUACCUGGUCUGCAUCUGCAAGCAUUUGUGCACAAUUUUUGUAUGCCUACGCAUCAGCAUUCUGAUUUAUCCAUUGAACUAUGAACUGGCAUUAUUGGCAUCAGCAAGUUGAUAGGCCCACACCACUAACCAGGCAGUCAGUCUUGAUAUGAUGAUCUAUGAAGGAACAUCAUAAGAUAUAUUGGCAAAGAGACUGUCUGGGACCAUGGAUAUGACAAAAACAGGUCCUCACAAAUAUUCUGGUUAAGCAAACUUUCAUAAGAGAAUCUGGUUAAAGUGGGGGAAAUAUGCUUACAGCACAAGGCAAGAAAGUUCCGUGGUUUGCUUUCUAACAUGGAAAAAUUAUAUAUUAUAUUAUGGAAACUACCUAUUUUCUACUCCAUAGAAUGGCCGUUUAGGAUUUGCAACUACUCCCAUUGUAAUUCAUAUUUGACACUCCACAAGUUUGCCUCUUAAUGUCUAUUGCACAGCUAAAAUCUUCACUCUUAAAUAUCAUAUGUUAAUCUCAGCAAUAGCAAUUCUACUUGAUUAAAAGGAAGCAUAGACAAGCCCACUUAGAACAUGCUGUCAUCAGCCAACACCGUUAUAUUCUGCUCCUUAAUCUCUAGUAUCAAGUUAUUAUCAGUUCUAAGAAAAGGAAAAAGUCCAUUUUACUCCCCUCACCACUUUGUCCCCCUGAGCAAAAUUUAGGCUCGAUUUACUCCCCCAAACUAUUUCAGUUGGCCCAAUCUACCCCCUGAUGAGUUUUUUAUUUUUUUGUUUCUCCAUGUAUGAGUUGGAUUUUAAGUUCAAAUUUUGUGAAGAUACAGAACAUCAUGCCUUACAUUAAAAAAAUUAUACUGAGAAUUUUUCAUGGUUAUUUUCAUAGGUUAGGAACAUUUAAUAGGAAAUUGAUCUUAGAUAUACAAAAAUGUAUGAAAAGUAAUCAUGAAAAAAUUCUAAUGUAUUUUUCUAACAUAGGGCAUCAUGUUAUAAGUCAACUAACAAAAUCUGAAAUUAAAACUCAACUUGUAUGCGAAGAAACAAAAAAGAGAAAUCUAAUUAGGGGGUAGAUUGGACCAACUGAAAUAGUUCGGGGGAGUAAAGUGAGCCUAAAUUUUGUUCGGGGGGUUAAGGGGACAAAGUGGAUUGGUGAGGGGAGUACAAUAGACAUUUUCCUAUCUUCUAUUAGGGAUAGUCAACCGCUUCCCACUCCAUAGAACGGUCACUUAGGAUUUGCCACUACUCCCAUCAUAAACUAUUGUUUACACUUCAUACAUUGGCGUCAUAACUUUCUAUCUCACAGUUAACAUCUUUACUUGUAAUUUGUAAAUAUCGAGAUUUCACAAGAUCUGCAGUAUAAAUACAAACUACAUUGCUAAAAUUUAUAUGUUUACAUUACUCUUUAUGUCCACACUAAGAUGCUAAAAUAUUAGAUGUACAAGUUAACCAAGCAACCCAAGUAUUGCAUUUCAAUUCCUCGUAAUCCAAACCUCCAGCAAUCAUGCCCAACCAUUCCCACUGUAAUACAGUCACUACAGGAUAUAAAUAUGCUCCCAGCAUAUUUUGAAGGAUGCAUGCAUGAUGACAUUUGCUAUAAGUUUGUAAAUCAUCACGCAUGGAUGGGAUAGAAAUAUCAUUUGUUUUGCAUUUGCUUGCUAACGAAAAUAAAGAGCUGCUUUCAUGUAUCAACCAUAUUUUAUCUGUGAUAAUAAACUAUAUGCCACUGCAUAUCUAACUUCUACAGGCUGAAGAGUGAAGACAGGCAGCUUAUUGGGUGGAAAUUGCGGGCAAUAGGAAACUUGGUGUUGCUGAAACAGAUUUGACUUAGCACCACUACCAGAAGAUACAUAUAUGUAUAUUGACAGGCCGGUGGUGGCUAGCUACUAGGUUAGAUUUUUGGGUUUGUGAUGAAGAGAAACAUUUUUCAAUGGGAACAAGAAUGAUAAUACAUUAAUACACCACACAUGUAGACAAAACUGUGAAUAUGGUAGAAUACAGAGUAAAUGGAUCAGAGGAGCCCAAAAACAAAUUCUGUAGCACUAUGAGGAACAAUUUGCAUAUUAAUGCAGCUAUAUCAUUAACAGACGAAAGGCAUAAAACAAACAAUAUAACAAGAACAUACCCAUAAAAGAAUGCUCGCCAUCCACUUUUGACCCUCUGGUAAAUGAAAUAGAUAUUUGCUGCACAAGAAAUGGCCACCUGGAGAGUUGGCCCUUCUUCAGUAGGAAAAGCAAGGGUAAGUGCUCCAAGCAAGAUAAAAGUAAUUGCUGUCUGCCAAAUGACUUUGCUACGUGGUGUUUGAAAUCUGCCUUGAAUAGCCUUGACUGCACGUGACUGACUAAGUUCCCUAAAUUUUUUCUUGAGGUCCAUUUUUGGUUUUUUCCUAUCAAAGAAACUCUGCAUGAUAAUCCUGUCAUGGGCAGACUCAAUUGCAUCAACACUUGGCUUAUGGCCUGCAUACUUGCUUAUCAGAUAGUUCCUGGCAGCUCGAAUCUCUUCUUCAGAUGCUUCCCUGCUGAUUCCAAGACGCUGAUAUGGAUCCUUCACGUGGAUUCUAGGAAAGAUGGCUGAAAUAAAAUCAAGAAGUUAAAAAAGGACUGUGAAGGACUAUUAACAAAAGAAAUGUUCCAAACAGAACAAUUAAAAGGCCAAGUAGCGGUAAAUGUGAUUUAUAAAACAAGGUCAGGACAAACAGGUGAUAUUGAUUACCAAAAUUACUUGUUCUCUACAUACACAACAUAUCGAAUGUGGUGCACUUGGCAAUGAUAACAUUCAAUGUUUACUUUUACCAUCUAAGAUCAAUUAUUCUGGAAAACAAAUUAGUAAUUUCAUAUGAGCUGAUCAACUGCUCCUUAGAAAGCCAUACCACAGGGUUACUGAAAUUCAAUAUGAAAAAAAUGCUACACCAUCUCAAGCGUAUGAACUGAUUAUGUAAGAAUUUCUUGUCCUAGACAUGGUUAGCAAGUACUCACGAGUCGAAGAAUCAGCCAUCUCCCCAAAUGAUGCAGUUGCCCGUGGUGUAAUUCUGGCAUUUCUCUGUGCAUAACAGAGAGGAGUACUGUACUUUGUGUAUCUGCAUUGAAGGAUUUGCAUGAGAAAUCAUAUUUCUCACAGCAGGAACAAGAGGAAAGCUUUGACAAAAAGGCAGUAGUCACAAGAAAUGUAAGAUACCAUACCUAUCCACAUUGAUGAAGAUUUUGUUCUUUUCCUUGCGUCCCCUGUUGAAACUCAACGAAGAUACAAGUCCCAAGGGUGCAGUCGACACCCUUGAAGCAACUGGACAUCGCAAAGUCCUUGAGGGAUCUGUUGCUAGACCAUGAGCCAACAUCCCUAGAAAUAUCUAAAUAGCUUAGACUCUGAGUGAUUUUCCCUGUGAAGCAAAACAAUACUAUAUCAAGAGUAAGUAAAGAAGAAAGGAAAAAUGAGCCAAUAUCAACAUAAUCAUCACCACUUGAAAAAAAAACAUGUAUGGCAUAUUUAUAUAUCAUCAAAUGUUCACAGCUUAGAGGCCUCCCACUAAUUGUAUGCACAUACAUUUUUUUUUCUAUUCUAAGGAGAUUGGGGACUUAACCAUGAUCACAAACAUCAAAACCUUCACUGUACCGCAUGGUUGCCCCCGAAUGUACAUCCAUUAUGCAAUAUGAUUCUUAGAACAAUUCAAUCAAUGUAAUGUAACAAACAAGCGGUUAUUUCAUAGUAACCCGAAACGAAAAGGGCCACAGGGCCAUAGGGGUUCAGUUGAACCCCUAUUCGUUCACCAGCACCCCGCCCCACAAAUUCAGCAUUGAGAUGGACCUAACGCGCGCCGAAGAAACUAAUCGAACCCAACCAGUACCGUGGAUGGAUUGCCGCCGCCGCCGGCCGCGCCACCGACAAGCCGCCCUCCAGCCCGCCAUUCGCUAACUGAGAAAGCCGCUCGCCCCCGCCGUCGGCCCUUCCCGCCGGUUGUCGUCCGCCGCCAGACGCUUCCUCUAAGCCCGCCGGCCAUGGAGCCCUCCCCCGACGACCCCGAACUGGAAACCCUAACGCAGGCACCACCAUGCCUCAAUCCGAGAGAAGAAUAAAGAGCAGGAGUAGGACCCACCUCGCCUCCGGCAGUCUACCACCAGCCACCAGACUUGGACAAGCAAGAAUCGUCGGAGGAGAGAAGAGAGAGCUGGACGAAGGCGCGGGCUCUGACUGUGGAGAUUAGUCAGGUAGGGGAUGGGAUUUGCCAGUAAGAUGGACGGGUACGCGAUGCGCCUGCGCCAUGGGAAGACGUAUCCGGCUAGCGUUUAGAAUUUACGUUUUUCAACAAAUUAAUCCGGACGACACUGCAGGGGGGCAUGUGGCCCAUUAGUCAAUGGUGGUCCAGAUGGAAAGAGCCGGUUUGGCCUGUCUUUUAAUUCUUAUCUUCAGUUUAACUUUUCAAAUAUUUCAUGACAAUUAAAAAAAGAUUCAUGGUACCUAUUUACUUGGUUUUUUCGUCCUCAUCAUCACCAUGGGCGUGUUUCAUCCUGGAGAAGUUUAGUCCAUGUCACAUUGAAUAUUCGAAGACUAAUUAGAAGAACUAAAUAUGAGUUAAUUAUAAAACUAACUACGUAGAUGGAGGCUAAACUGCGAGAUGAACCUAUUAAGCCUAAUUAAUCCAUCAUUAGCAAAUGAUUACUGUAGCAGCACAUUGUCAAAUCAUGAACUAAUUAGGCUAAUAGGUUCGUCUCGCCGUUUAGCCUCCAUCUGUGUAAUAUGUUUUGUAAAUAGUCUAUAUUUAAUACUCCUAAUUAGUAUCUAAAUAUUUGAUGUGAUAGGGACUAAAGUUUAGUUAGGGAUCCAAACGGCCCUAUAUGACUCGGUAGUUGGUAGUACCAUGGUUGUAUUCUUUGUGUUGAGUCAAAUAUUUAAAAUGGCUUGUUAUUCCCACUUUUAAUUAUCGGUUUACCGCCGUUAUCGACAUGAUUCCAAUCAAAUUAUUUUGUUUCCAACUGUCGGGGUUAGAUCUCCAUUACCCGUAAGGAAGGAAGAAGACGAACGCCUACUAGUAUUCCACUGUAAUCCUACUAGAAUUCAUCUGUAAUCCUACUUAGGACUCAUACCAUGUAAUCUUAUCAGCACUCCUAUCUUGCAACCAACUAAUAAUCCUACCCCCUAAAGUAUAUAAAGGAGGACAGGGUACCAAAAUCGAUAGAACCACAACAGAGGAUCAAAUCCUCAGUACCAAACAACACCCAAGCACAGGACGUAAUAUACAACACUCUAAACAGGACGUAGGGUAUUACGCUACUCUAGCGGCCCGAACCUGUAUAAAUUCGUGUUUUUGUCCUCACUUUUACCUUUGAGUUCCAGGUCCGACGAUCCCUCACCAACCAAUCUACUAUCUCGAGGUACCCCUCGGUAGAUUGCCGAGUAUAAAACACCGAUAUUUGGCGUGCCAUGUAGGGAUGAUCGUCGAGAUCAUCGGGCGAACUUGAAGGACCUUAUCUUCAAAAUCAAUCUACUCGACAAGAAGCAAGUUGCUGAGUUCCAAUUCGAAGCGGAUACGAGAAGCUUGAGGGAGAUCAAUUGGUUAUCGGCACGUCUGCAUGCAAAAAGCGGCAGCACUAGUUGCACUGCUAUAGCUGAUCAUCCUCCAUGGCUACGUGCGUCGCUCAAGGCUGAUGAUCCGCUACUGCUCCACGCCCAUGAGAAGGAAAAAUAUCGGUGGAAUUAUUUUUCCGUCUCCAAGUUGAAGUCAUCGACGAUGCAUCUUAAGCUAAUUGCCUCCAGUUGCCGAAUCCUAUACUGAAGCAAUGAAGGCCAACCAAUAUUCCAUCUACUACUCAUGCACAGAUCGAGGAAACUAUCAGCUCGAGUACUCUCCAUGCAAGGCUACUUUUUAGAGUUUCAGUACACGUACCAGGAAGGCCACUAGGAGAUCCAUUCCUCUUCACUAUAGUAUUCAAGAAAUGCACAUGGGACUCCAGCAUGCAUGACUGUGUUGGCUUCACCAGAACGCUCGGCAACACAAUAGUGGCUACCUAAAACUUCUCAUCUCGACUACAAACUAGUAGAGGGUGGGUUACACGUGAUCAACAACUAGUCGGAAUCGACUCCGACUAGUCGGCUUCAUCAACAACCGUUGCGGCUUCACGAUGACCGCCACGGCUUCAUCGACAAUCGUCGAUGAAUCGAGAUAAGUCACUUUUUUAAUUAUUUUAUAUAAUUUUUCUAGCUUGUUUUCCGCAUGCUGGGCAACACACCAAGUAUUUUUUUAUGUACGCCUCUUGACGGAAAUUACCCUCCAGAGCUACACUUUGCCAAUUAUUCCUAGGGCAUGUUAACCGACAGCCAUGGGCUUGGUACACCGAAUUACGGAGGCUAUAGCUACGGAUUUUGUGCACUAAGUUCCGGAAGCUCUGCCAACAGGCUUGGUACAUCAAAUUUCGGAGGCUACGACCACGGAUUUGGUGCACAAGGUGCUGGAGCCUCGCAGCGGCUACACCUAAGGACGCACAAAUCCUAUGCGUGGCAACAUGCGCUCUCCUCGUCAAAAGGCAGAAAAGUCUCAAUGACUACUUUACGUACAAUCGCACUCUCUUUUUGUCGCAAUGUUGACUACUUAUUUUUGUUGUCUCCUCUUAGCGGUCACUAAUCUCCUAGAGCAAAAUACGCCUCAAUCCGUGAAAACCUCAGAUCUUAUGUCAUGCAUAAACGCUAGGACACGUCACGAGACAAAGAUCUUAGAUGUGUAGUAGCAGUGCUAGUACGCGUACACGAGAUAAAGAUCUCACACACAGUGUCAAUAGCUAAAUAAGGACUGAGAGUCUAAAUGUAAUAGGUUAACUAUUCGGGAGAAAUGUAGCCGAAACAAGAUUAUGACACACAAUAUUUACAUUCAUUACUGAAUAAAUUUCGGUAGUAUCUUCAAAAUGCUAUAAAUAUGCUGCAUAAUAUGCAUCUCUUUUUUUGCAGGUCAAGUUUCAGUGACGACUUUCCAGAACGCUCAGUGUACCUCCAGUGGCUCCGCUAGCUCCGAAGCUCGGAGGUUAAGCACCAAUUACUACUCGGAAUAUUUCCAAUGACUAAGCUAGCUUCCAAGCUUAGGAGCUAAGCGCCAAAUAACUACUCGACGUGGCUCCUACGGCUCACCUGGCGUAUAAGCUCGGGGGCUGGACGCCGCAAAACUACUCAAAUGAUGAUUCGCGUGAAGACUAAAGCUCGUCGGACCCUUGAAUUGACUAUUUAAUUAUUCCAAGGCUCAGGAGCUGAUAAGCUACACCUAACAUUUGAUUUUUUCAAGAUGAAAGAAGAAAAUUUAAGAUUUUAUUGACUCUCAGCCCGAUUCUUCGAUUCAACCUAAGUCUCGGGGGCUACUCUAGAUGGAGCUGAGUAUUACUACUCAACUAUUUGCAUUUUCUUCUACAUAUGAAUUAAGUAAUUAACAAGACUUGGAGGCUCUUUUAUUAGAAAUAUGGUGUCCAUGCCCAAUAAGAGAAGUAUAGAUAGUUCAACGUCCAUCUGUCCAAUCUGGAUCAUUCUCAUAAGCAUCCACGGUUCAUGUAAAGAUAUGGAAAAAGAUGUUCCAGUUUAGUAUAAUGGGAGUAUUAGUAUCUGAAUUCGUGGUCAGAGCAUCUGGUAAAGAAUGUGUGGGUAGAACACAUGAGAGCAUGACUAACGUGACCAGCAUUAUAUAGGCAGAGGUCAGAGAAAUUUUAGUAGUCUUAGUGAUAUUUUUCUGUGGAAAACUUUUAAAAUUUCAGAUCAAUCCUACAUAUUGAUAUAGUGGCUUUUGGUGUUGUUGCAACUCUACAAAUGGGACCAAGUUGUCAACGGCCCCUGAUAAGGUUUGAACUUUCAAUGCCAUAGGUCAGAUAAAGCUUCAUUGGUUAACUGGUGUUGUGCUGUAACUUCUUUGGUCUACUAUUGAUUUGGCUGAUUUUAAAUGCAACUCGUCAUUAUGAUCAGUUCAGAUAAUUUUUUUAAAGUUAUUACUUGUCCUAUGGAGUACAUUGCAAUAACAAAAAGUGAUUUUGUGCAAUGCACUUUAAUUAAUUAUAGGACUGCAUGUUCUCAAAUCAGGUGACUAUGUAUUUUUUUCGCGACCGUACCUUAGUACGUAUUUCAUUAAGAGGAAAGAAGCAGGAUUACAUGUUUAAGCAAUGUCAUCUAGAAUUGAUGACCUGCUUUACAAAAGAAGCUUAAGAAAAAAUUACAUUAGCACUAUUGUGCGACCCAGCUACACCCGUGUCAUGAGGAAGGGGAAAUGGAGUGAAAGAUGAUAGAUAGGGGAAACGAGCUGCUACCCAGGCGGAAGCCUCUUCGAAGAACCUUUGUACAAGUAUCAUCACCGUCUUCUCCACUCUAUUGAAAGUUCGUGCAUUACGUUCAAGAAAUCAGGAUCAAUAUUGAGUCAAAAGAUUUGCUAUCCAUCUUGUCCACCCGCUUCCUCGUCGUCAUCCACCAGUCGACCAGAGAGAGCUCUGAAGCAGACGGCGUGAGAGCCUGCCAGUUCACUCUAGACAGGAACAAGUACCAAAAUUCCCUGGCAUAGGAGCAGUUUAUCAUUAAAUGGAUGGUUUCUGAUUCCGGCCCGCAAAGAAUGCAAGUAUCAUCAUCCUCUAGAUUGUGCUUCUUGCGUCUUGAUGCCGUCUAGCAGCAUUCAUGAAGAAUAGCCACAUAAAAAAUUUGCAUUUAGCAGGUGCUCGUGUCUUGCAAAGGAUCCUUGCUCUAGGUAUAUGAUGAUGCUGUGGAGAAGCUCCGGUCCGCUGUCCAUUUCCACAGCACCCUAUCCGGGGUGGCAUCAUCUAGUGUGAUCAUCUCCAAUUUGUCCCAAAUGUUUAGGUAGUCAAGCAAAACCUGAACCGUUAGAGAACCCGUGAUAUCCCUGAUCCAUUUUCUGUAAUGUAGGCCUUCAUGAACUGUUCUUUUCUUACGAAUUCUAGGACUGACUGCCUGAAGCAAGCACGGAGCAAUCUCAGCAAUGGAGCGGCCUUCAAUCCACCUGUCUGUCCAGAAAAGUGUCUGCUUCCCAUCACCCACUUGUACCGACGUGGAUUAGAAGAACAUCUAAGCUACCAGGGGUUCCACUGAGUCAGGCAAAGUAUACCAAGAUCGUGAGGUGUAUGUUUUCUUCAACCACAACCAACACAUCCGAAGUGCAUAACCAUGAUGUGGAGAUUUGUGACUAUGUAGACCAGACCAAGAAAUCUGUAGCAUUUCUUAAAUUUCCAUUAGUAUCAUAUAUGGUUGGUAAAGAAACAUACAUGUUGGGGAGUCCAGGUUACUUUGACCUAUUUUGAGCAGCUUACUAAGCUGCAAGUGUCUGGUCAAAGAUUUGUUCCACCUUAUGGAGCAUAAUGAGUCAACUUUAUAAUGGCACUGUGAGUUUCUACUAUAUCUGACGACCCUGAGAACUAAGGCCUUUCAGCUCAAUUAGAGGGCACGACCGCAGGGCACUCGAAUCUCUACUAGAGCUGACAGCCGGCCAUGGUGUUUAUAAAACAUGAGAGGAUGUUCACAUCUUUUACAUUGGGCACGAACUCGUCGUGAUAAAACUAACUGGUCACGAAGAAAAACUUACUCCAUCCUGUUCACAACAAGUAUGCACGGUAUACAACAAGUUCACAACAACUAUAUACAGCACCGAUUCGCACAGCCGGUCCGGCGCAUAAACAUAUACAUUGCUGCUUGUGAUCUCGUGGCUUUGUUUCUGUUUGUUUACCUUAGCUUGCCUUUGCCAUCAUGGCACCGAGCCACGGACCAAGCAACCGCACAGCAAUUUGAUCCUGAAUAUCAUCGUUAGGGUGUUGAAGAAAACUGAUAUGGGCUUGCAGUUAAAUAUUUGCGGUACAUUAGUACGUUUGUAUAUGGCUCACGGAAAAAGUAGAGCUAGCUAGAUCAAAAUCGGUCGGUCCAAAGUGCAUUAUUCUAAAUAAGGGCGGAUGAAUAGACAUUGUCCGAUGGCCGUUAUGGCUCCAGCAACAGCAACAGGAUUACCACUACUCAAACUUGAUCGAUUCGAGGUUGAUAGAAGAUUGAUGUCAUUGUGUGGUUCUUGAUAACCAUUACAGUGUCUCGCCUAUUCCGAUAUCCUGUUUUUGCAAACUCAGUUGAUUUGCGUGGGAUUCUUUGAUAACCAUUGCAAUGUAUAUAGCCUAUUUCGAGAUCCUCUCUUUGCAAUGUUCACCAAUCAUUUGGUUGUAAGUAUGCCUUUGAAAACUGGUGUUAAGUACUAGUACAUGUUCUUGUACAGAAUCCUCGACACUACGAUUGGUUUAUAUAGAGGUUUUUGGGGUGGAGUAACUUAUUAACUUUUAUGAAAUACAGUACAAAUGCAAACACUGUAUAUACAUGCACGUACAAUCACGCAUGUAUGCACAAUCUAUAUGGGCAUCUCUAAGAAACUGAGCCGUUAAAUUCUAUGUUGAAGAUCUAUUUUUGUAAGUUUUUAAAUUUAUAUAUGUACGACUUGGUAUGGCAUAAUUAAAAAAAAUUAAAGUAGAAAAGUAGAAUGUUCAAGAUCACAUAAAUAUGUGAGUAAUUGUUGCUGACAUUUUUUUUGGUGUACGCGAACUCUCUACGAGUCACUUGCCAUUACCAGAUCUGCUGUUCGCUAAUUAAAAUGUCCACAAGAAACUUCUUUUGAGAAAAUAAAAACUUCAGGUCUCCCUACAUUUCACGUUCUGCAAAUGAACAUCAAGGAAAGAGAGUGUUUGCCUUGCGCCCUUGCUAAUGACACGUAGAGCUCUCGCCUCACCGUUCCAGUCCGUUCCACCCCCGCAGGUCGCGAAAACCAGCAUGAGGUGAUCGGUCAUGUUACUUGCGUUGCUGAAACAGAGCUGCAUGACCCGAUGAAUCGACGAGGAACGUUCAUGGCCAACGGGCCGCCUGUAAACACACCUCUGGUAAGAUGGUAGGGUUUCUUAUAAAAGGAACAUCUUCGAUGUUGUUUAUAACUCAGCAUCAAUGUCAAGCAGGGGAACCUUACUUCUUCAAACACACUAAGAUGUUAGAGGAAACUGAUCCAACACUGAGAUCCAACAACAGACCUAUUUCUACACUAAUGCAUAAACGAAGCAGGAUAGGGUACCAGCUAGGUGUCCACCUACAAUUGGCAUAGGUUCUGCACAUCAAUCAUAGGCCUAAAAUGGCAAGAUUGCCCUAAGUUUAAGCAAGUUGUUUUGUUCAUCUUGGAUAGAGCAAUUAUGUAAGCUUCCAUAGCUUUUUUCAAAUAGAGGCUCCUAAGGACUGAUUGGUUCAUGACUUCGUGUCCCGUUACUUCUCCCUUUUUAUCUGCUGUCAAUUUACAUGCAAAACAGUUCGAAAAUUGUACAGAGUCAGAGAUGAUAGGAUAUCAGCAUGUAUGUGGCAUGUGGCCUGUUUCCAUCGAUUCCGGAUCACCGGCUGCUCCAUUGCUCCAUCGAUGAAGUCACGUCUGUAUGGGAAUUUUUACUAGCAUAGCUAGCAACGAUACCUUUGGCUUAUGGAUCUAAGUAAAUACGCACCCCAUAUGAUUCAAGAGCUCUCUUACGGUGCACAAUACUAGGCUAUACUGUUCGAAAAGAACUAGUAUAAAAACAUCCAACGGUCAAGAUUAAUUGUAUACUACUGAAACCUUUACCUAUGGUAUGGUAGUAUACAUGAGUAGUAUAGAUAGUAAAGGGUUGAUAACACACAUGGCAUCACUAUAAUUUUAUUUUUAACAAUAGCAUAAAGUUUAAAAGACCAUUCCAUUUGAAAUAUCACUUUUAGAACGUAAUAAAUUACUAAAUUAUCCAUAAUAAUGAACAGUCACAUCUUAUAUAUAUAUAUGUAUAAUAUAUAACAGUAGUAUUGUGUGUACCUGAAAACCUAUUCAAGAGAAAGAAAAGAAGAACGCGUCAUACUUUGGAUCCUUAGUAGUCCCCUGUCGUAAAAUUGAGUAGAUUAUUUCGUCCAAAAACUCCAUAAGAACGCGGCAAGCAUUUCGUCAACAUCAAGAUGGCACGGCACCCGCCUCUGCUUGCCAAGGCGUCGGCAGCUCAGUUGGAAACAAAAUAGCAUGAGGCAAAUGCUCACAAUGUUUUUUUAGAAAAAGAAAAUAUUUCUAACCUCUGCAACCGCACAUAGCCAAUGCUCACAACGUUUGGCCGGCUAGAAUGAUUGCCCCGCGAGAUUGCCGUGACCACAGUCCAAACCGGCUGCUCAUAAGCUCUGCGCGGCGCGGUACGGGCGAUCACGCACCUUCGUUGUAUAAAUACACCUUGGAGACCUUUUGCUUUCAUGAAUUCUUAGUUUCUGGGGAGGAUGGUCAGCUAGCAUUUUAGUGUGGCACUAGUUCAAGAGCAGAAUAGCAAUGGGAAAUUCGACAUUUAGUUUGCCAUGCACUAUUUAGGAGGCAAACAGCACUAUGGGGAAAAGUUUGCUUGUGAACAUGAACCACUGUGAUGUUGGUGGAAACUGAUGCAAGCUCGAGGUUGGCUUUAAUUGUGCUGGUCUGUAAAUCAUCCCCAUUUUUCUUAGCUCUCAUUUAGCUGCAAUCAUCAUAGAUUUUAUAGGGGAUACAAAAUUGUACACCAGUGCGAUCUUGUUGCUCCAAGAUUCAUGUAGCCUCUCUCGUUCUACCUUUUAUUUUCAGGUUUAUGAAUGUGGAAUGCUUCACUAUUUUGGUGUAUAUUUUUAUGACAUAUCUCGAAUCAGCAUUAUUACUGGUGAUAUUGUUAAUACUUUAGGUAUAUUGUAAGAACGCUGUUUAAAGACAGUUAACAUAGAACAAAAUGAUCCAACUUAUCGCAAAGACAUUGUUCAGCAGAAUCAGCACUGUCAAUGUUAAUAAUAUCACAGCAAAGUAUUUUAGAUCGCAAAGCUCGCAUCAAUGUCAAGAAAGGGAACAUUGUAUUAUCCCUUUAAAGACAGUUAAAAUAGAACAAACUGAUCCAACUUUGCGAUCUAAAAUAAACCUAGUUCUACUAUACUGAAUAAAUGAAACAGAAAGGAGUACCAGUUAGGUGUCGACCUACAAUCGAUAUCGGUUCUGUGCAGUCAUUGCCUAACAACAUGGCAAGAUUUCCUUAGGUUCAUGCGAGUGUUUUCAGUUCAUGUUGGCAGCGACGCAGCGUAAAUAUCUAGCAUUCUAUAAGUUUUUCAAAGAUAGCUGAGGUUCCUUAAGACCGAUUGGUUCAUGUAGAUCCUUUUAAAUUCACACUUUUAAUCUGAUGGCAACCACCUCAUGCAGGGUAACAGUUCGAAAUUUGCAGAGAAAUGUUACAAAAUCGUGGCUGAGUUAGUAGGAUGGUACUCCUAGCAAUGUAGCAUGCGACAUGUCUCCAUCAACUUUGAUGAUAGUUGUAUGCACUUCGUCAGCCCACCUGCGUGAGCGUGACCGCGUCCUCGGCUGCACGUCCUCAACGUCUUGGCCGCCCGCUGCCUCUCGCAGUCUCUGAUUGUUCACAAGCUCUGCAAGGUGCGGUACAGAGGAUCAGUCAGAUCGCUGCAUAAAUACAUACUGUCGGUGUUUUGCUUCCAUGGAUUCUUAGUUUCUGGGAAGGAUGAUCAGCACUUAUAGCGUGGCACUAGUUCAAGAGCCAAAUAGCAAUGGGAAAUUCAGCAUUUAGUUUGGCGAGCACUAUUUACGAUGAGGCAAACAGCACUGGGAAAAUUUUCCUUCUGAACAUGAACCAUUGUGAUGUUGGUGGAAACUCAUGCAAGCUUGAGAUGGCUUUUUUUUGUUUUUUGAACGAGUCAGCAGGAGAGCUGCUACUAUAUUAAUAAAGAGGAAUGUCAAACAAUGACAAGCCUUUACAUACUGUACACUUGGAACUCGGCUAGCGUGGCUUUAGUUGUGCUGGUCUGUACAUAGUUUCUGGUUUCGCAAGCUCUCAUCUAGCCGCUUUCUUUCUCCAUGAUCUCAUUUUCCAUUUUGAUUUGCAAACUUGUGUUUUGAAGAUUUAAUUCUGUUGAUUUGGAUGCUUUAUGUAUAUCUUUAAAUUUGUGUAAAGAAUUUUUAUUUUCAGAAUUAUCUAUUUUGAAUGUUUCACUAUUUUGGUAGCUGAUGUUAAAUACAAACAUCUGUCGAAGCAACAUUACAGUGAAAUGAGUUGUUUGAAUUUUUAAUGAUUGCAUAAAUACUUGACUCCAGAUCUUUCCCAUGCGCAAGCUGUAUAUGCAUUCAGUACUUGCCACUGCCAGAUAUGCUGUUCACUGAUCUAAAUGCCGGUAAGACACCCUACAUUUCAUAUUCUGAUUAGACAAGGAAUUAAAAUAAACAGCAAGGUACUGGAAAUAAACCGCACAAUGAGGACAACUAUCUUGAUCACUUUUAAUUUGUCACUGGAAAUGCUGAUGAUACAUUAUCUUCCUAUUCAUUUAUUUAGCCCUUCAGGUAAGUAAUUCUAUGGCAUGACCUCCUCCCGUCUCCACAGCAGCUCCUGCCGCCUACUGCUGCCACUCUAAGAUCGCUGGACUCCAAUGAACCAAAACCCUAACCCUCAAACCCGUGCACGCCUGAGAUGUUGUCAGAGUUGGGGAAGGAAAUGGUUUACACAAAUCUUGUCACCUAAAAAUCAAGUAUUGACGAUGACUACCUUUGAAACACUUAGGUAUCAAUUAGUGUUUCUGUUAAGAUAGGACAGUGUUGUUUCAAAGAAAUUUGAGUGAUUGUGCAAAUUAAGCCAACCACGCGGGGUGCCUUUGGCCUGCUCACCUCCGAUUUGCCAUGGAGUAGAGCAAUUGAGGAUGGAAGAAGAGCCCGAAAUUAAAAGAAUCUAGCGAAGAGAUCUCGAGUUAUUCAUUGAAAAAGCUUGAUUAUAACUGACACUUGUUGGUCAAGGCCUGGAAUAACCCUUCCUCAAUUAUUAGUUUCAAGGUUAGAGUUUUAAUUUCUUAGAACACCACUUCUCUAAGCAUGCAUGCCGACAUAGGUGUUGCGGUUAUCAUACAAGUUUGGUUGCAGUGUGAUAAGGGAUUAGUCAACCAAUUGUUGAGGAGUAAGGCUAAAUUUUCUUUCUCGUUAAGAAACUAGUCCACCCUAUAAGAGAUGGCUAUCAUACUAACGAUUGUGUCAAGCAAGAUCCGAAUGGAUUCGAAUUCCACACCCUACCGAGGACAUUGCAGAAAUAGCAUGAUAGAACCAUCAUGUUCUUGUGUCGCUGCUCGCAUGAAAUCUGUGUGAUCAAACCGACUAACUCUAUGAGUCAGUUAGCAAUGUAUGUGGUAAUAAGAUGCCUAUAAAUACGGUCUUAGCAACCUCGUGUCUUUUUGCAACAUCUCUUUUAAUUUUCGCUGCUUUCACUUGUAAACUCAAAUUGUUUGUAAGGUUAUUAUGUGAUCAACUGAGUUAGUAAUGAAGAGGGAGCAUCAUCUUCUUCAAAACUACCUUAGAUGUUAGAGGAAACUGACCCAAGCUUGCAAUUAAAGAGAAAAUCAAAAGAGCACACAAAAUACAGAGAUUGUUGCCCGCAGCUGGCUCUCUUCUUCCUCCUCCUCUUACACCACACAUCUCCCUCAUUUUCUUCUUCUUUGUUGUCUUUCAUCCUCCUCUGCUUUUACCUCCAAUGCAGUUCUUGAGUAGUAGGGAAGCUCGAGCACCUAGCACCUCACCUGGAUCCGCUCCUCCAUGUCUUGCUCCAACAGUCUGAUUUGAUUCUGCUAAAGGAGUGAUUCGGAUUAUAUCUUCCUCCUGCGUCCAAUUUGUUUUUAUUGGUUGUUUCUAUAGGGAACUUGAUGUAGAUAAAACAUAUUGUGGUGACACAGUUCAAGUACAUUUUUUUUCUUUUCUAUCUGAUGUCAUAUAAAAUAUUUUUAUCUAAACUCGAUUGUCUGGUUUUAAAUUCCAGCUCAUAUAUUGUAGUCAGUUCAGAUAAAGUUUCUUAGGGUUAAAUCUUGUACACCCGAAUAUAAAAUUAAUUUUGGGCAAUAUAUACAUCUAAAGAUCGCAUGUUGUUCACUUUAUAGAUUGUAAUUCAAAUUCAAAAAUCCCUAUAGCACAAAUUUUACUAGAACAAAUGUGCUGAUCAGGAGACAUUUUGGGAUAUAACAACUUGACAAGCCUCCUACUUCUGCCCUCUCCAUGUGACAAGCUGUGGAAAAAAAAUCCCUCUCCAUCUUGUACUCCGGCAAACCUCAACUACAUAAAUUGUGAUUCUCGAUUAUAGACUAGGAUUUUAAUUUUUUUACAUGUGGCUAGCAUGUUCAGGAGUUCAAUAGUAACAUCAGAAUUCGUAAAGAAACAAAAUUGGAGUGUUUUUUUCAGCAAUGAGAGUUGGGUUCUUUUGACUUCUUUUGAACAGCAUGUAAGUUGCAAGUGUCUAAUCAAACAUUGACUUUCCAUCUGAUGACUCUAGAGAUACGGACUGGAUCUUGUGUAGAAAAAUGAAAAGGUCGUCGCUUCAGUUUUCUCAAUUCCACGUACGGGCCUUCAGCUCAAUCAGAGGAGACGGAACUCGUCUCUCGAGUCUCGACAGUCUCGAUGGACCCGACCAUCGGACGUGUUUACAGGACGUGACGAGGGAGAAUGCUCACAUUCUUUGCGUUGGUGAGUGGUAUUGGCACGGAGGCACCACAACAAAACUAACCGGUCACGAUUCACAACAUGUUAAGGAAAAAACUGACCGGUCACGGCAAGGUAUGCACGGUACAGUACACGAUCUCGUGCCUUUUGGUUUUGUUUCAUUCUUUGCUUUUGCGGCUUGUAAUGUUAGAUUGAUCUUGAUGAUAGGAAUCAGCGUGGCAAGAAUCGUGCAGGCUAAAGUAGUGUGGCAAUUCGCUGCUGAAUACUCAUUAGGAUGUUUGAGGAAACUGAUAUAGGUUUGCGGCUUCAAACGCCUGCAUAUUACUCCUACACUAUGCAAUUGAUGCUGGGCAGGUUCAUUAACAUGAUCCAGAUGGUCUCUAAUCAGAAAAUUGAGAGAAGCUGUUCUCUGGCCCCACCGAGGCUAAGGUCUCCAGGCACCCUAUAUCAGAUUGUGGAGAGGAGAGAAAGGAGGAGGUUUCCGGACAAGGGAAAACCUUCUAAAAUUAGGUGGCUACUGAAUGAUGGCCACCUUUUAACAGGCUUAAUUUAGAGCUCCAAAUCACAAAAAUAACUUGUUCCAUAUGCUCCUUUUCUCAAAGGGGAAGAAAAAUUGAGAUGGGUGAAGCGUCACGUACUGCAUAUAUCUGGCUGGCUGUUUUCAUCGGGAGGCAAUUUUUGAUGCUGAAACAAAACUAGCCGAUGCGUUUGUUGUUGUAACUGAUCGCCUAUUGUUGUAACAGCAGCUUUCUUGACCUGCUUCUUGUUGAAGAAACAAAGCAGGCAUUAAAAAAACACAGGUAAAAUAUUUUCCAAACAUGUAACGUCUGGGAUUUACCACUUCCCACAUUUUUUUUUGGCAAAAACUUUUCUUCUGUAACUGCUCUCUUACGAAAGAAAGAAAGAAUGUGAUACUUUUUUGUUUCUGAUUGUAGAUUCACAAAUUUCAAGGAAAUGACAAUUACUAAAUCUGCAAAAUAUAGUGCAUGAUCACACAGAAUUUAAAAAAAAAACUUGAAAGAUCAACAGCCUGGUAAUGAUCUCCUAAGCCAAGAAUCACACAGGAAACAGUAACAGCAAACUUUUUGGGAUUUCUAGCUUCCAUAUAUAUGUUACAGUCAACCGUUCAACCCAGUACAUAGUACACUUGAAACAGAGCCCUAAUUUUACAUCAUUCAGGUCCAAAUUGCAUUUGCUCAAUUUCCGGCCAGCAUAUAAGAUCUUUCAAGCUAGACUCCGUUGAGAGUAAUCACAAUUUUGCGAGGGCUGGCAUGAUCACGGUGUUCGCACAGCCAUAUACCCUGGAACAGUUGAGUAAACACUAAGUAAGAUUUGGCAAUCUCAAUACAGGCAGUUUAUUAUACUAUUUAGAUGGCUCCUAUGAGCCUUUUAGCCAAUGCAAAUUAGAAUGGGGAACUAAGCUUGCAUAUCAUAUGAUCAGCUGUGAAAGGAUAUGUGUUUCCUUUACCUGCCAAGUGCCCGUAUUGAGACGUCCAUCAGUUAUAGGAAUCCUGCAUAGAGCAACAUGCAACCUGUUAAUUCUUACACAGUAGAAGAACAACACAACGUGAGGGAUGAAACAAUGAGUGAGGGUACACAUACGUCAGGGCACAACCAAACAUUGACGAUUUAAUAUGUGCUGGCAUGUCAUCAGGUCCUGCAAUUAGAACCUAACUAUUACAGUUUCAUCAUAAGGAGGGCAAAAUAACACAGUGAAGACUUAACUAACCUUCCAUAGUGUGCUUCCAAGGAGCAUUGUGGCCCUGAUAAGUGAUAACAAUGAACAUGUAAUGAAGCAAGAAUUCAAUUGUGACCAUUUAAAUAAGAAGAGAAAAAAUUGGCGGCCAUGGAGCGGGGCGCGAUGAGGGCGGGGGCGGGGGCGAGAGGACGGGACCGGACGGCACUGGUGGUUGCCUGAUUGGGGGCACUCACGGCGGCGAAGAGGCAACAGGAGCGAGGAGGUGGGGCGAUGUGGGCUUCUGGGCCCCCCGUGUCGCGGCGGAACAACUGUGACACGGAUUGGCGGCCGUCAGAUGGAUGGGAGAACGAACGGACGCGUGACUUGCACUGCGGUGCCUCCGAAUACUCCUUACGUUUCAAAUUAUAAGUCGUUUUGACUUUUUUUACGUUUAUAGAUUUUGUUAUGCACUUAGAUAUACCAUGUGUCUGGAUGCAUAAUAAUAUUUAUGAAUCUGGAAAAUCCAAAACGACUUAUAAUUUAGGACGAAUGGAGUACUUAAGAAAGAACUAAAAGGGAAAUGUUUACAUUGAUGGAUCAACCCAGUUGAUCGAUUACAAAAUUUACAAAGAAGAUGCAGUGCAACCUAUUGGUGUCUAAGUACCAAAAAAACGGGAAUGUCCCGUCAGCUAGAUGGCACAGGAGUAGUGAAAAAAUGGCACGGAGCCGGGAGUUGCCGAUCCGCCACGAAAAGGAUCAGCACGCUCUCAGUCUCAGCUGCUGGAGUCGGGCCGGCGGAGGUAGAAGAAGAGAGCCGUGCACGCCGCGGCUGCGUAAGGGAACGCCGUGCAGAUGCCCUGGUUGCAUUGCAGAGCAAGCAUGGCCUGAUCAGGAAACAGGGGAGAGAGAGAAGUUCUGGAAAGGGCGGGGAAGACAGAGAGGUAGGUACCACGGCAGCUGCGACGCUUGCCAGAGCGAUGACAGGCCUUUCACGGAGGACAAACCCAAGUGCUAACUGCAUGAAAGCGCCAGUUGUUUUGUCACAGAACAAAAGUCAACAGGUUCUUGUUAAUGUUAGUACUCCCUCCGUUCGGAAUCGUACGUCGUUUUGGCAUUCCUAGGUCUAUAGUUUUUGCUGUGCACCUAGAUAUACACUAUGUCUAGAUAUAUACUAAUCUAGAUUUGGUAAAAUGACCUACAAUUUGGGAGUGAGGGAGUACUAGCUAAGCCCGACUUAUAAGCUGCAAAGGAAGAACAAAAACAAGGUUGCCAUGAUCUGAAGGUCGGUUUACCUGAAUAGGAAGAGUAAGCAGGCACCCGAAACAAACUCCGGCGAAGUAACAGUCUGCUGGUAUACCCUGUUUAUAAUGGCCAAAGAAUGUCAUUGGCAAAUCAUUUGUGUGCAAUAUGUGCUCUAAUAUCUGUUAAGUCAUAGAGUUUUUUUUUAAAAAAAGUUGACUGACCAAUGCGCCAGCUAGAAAUGCUGUGAUAUUCCGUACGCCAAUUGAAAAUCUCUCAACUGCAGCAAACAUCAUAGUCAUCAUCAGUUUAAGUGACAAGCAAAUUUAACCAUCUAGUUUGUCUUUAGAACUUCAGUGUAUUGAGUGCAUAUGCAAUGCCAAUGCUCUACAGAGUUUCCCAUUUUCUUUCACUCAGGACUACAAAUGCUUUGCAAAACUGAUGUGAAGGUUCAGAUGUAUACCAAAGCCAAUUAGGUUCCCGUACUUUUGGACUGCUCGUGAUAUGCUUAGUGCUUUGUCCUUGCCAAUUCCAAUCUAAAAGGACAACUGCGAUUAGAUAUCAGUAAGGUAGCAAUACUUCAUGUCAUAGUUUUGCCACAAAAAAAAUGAUAUUUAUAAUAUAAAACUGAGGAACUAACAAGUGUAUUAUAAAGUGAGACAAAUCCCUGCUUCGCACCUUGCUGCUUAUGCCUUCAGAUGCUUUAGUUUGUCUAAAAAGCUUCCCCAGAAAGAACGGGAUCAUAUCGCUGAGACAAACACCCCUACGUGAAUGAAAAAGUUAAAAAAUUUAACGGGUAGCAUUCACUACUCACUAACAAGAGGAACAACUGUCUACAGAUCAUGGACAGAGGAUGCACGAGCACGAACCAGUAAAUCCAUAGCACUGUAGAAACUAUAUAAGGUGCAUUCGCCGAGAACGAGUUAACGAGAGAUUGCCAGGUUCCAUCCAAUGAAAGUGUACGUGAUAAAGAAAUUCCAGCCUACAUCAUGAAGGGAAAAAUGCUUCUCAACACAAAUAAAUGGUUGAUGAAUGCUUAUAUAUAAAAUUGUGUUUGAAGUCUGACUACUUGUGGAAAAUAAAGCUAGAAACUUAGUUGAGUUGAGAGUGGUCAUAUUGAAGGUACCAGUGCAAAGGACAGACCCAAACAUUUAAAGCUUCUUCACUGAUAAGUAGUCCAAAUCCAGCAGCCAUGAGCAAACAAAAGUAGACCCACCUGAAGAAUUUCAGCAGGACAGUAUAUUAGAAAAAUGGAGCAAAAAAGUUACAGGUAGGCUUCCAUUACAGGUACCAAAUAGAUCACAUAUUUGCAUUUAUUUUUUGAAAUCAGCCUAUGUGGUCCGUGAACUUUCAACAAUCCUCAGUUAGCAUGAUACCAUGGAUUGACUUGAGAAUUUAUUUUUUUCAGAGAAACAUUCCCCUAGAGGCUGUGCACGUUGUUUAGCAUUUGGUAGCAAAUGCAAUUGACAUAUUAUUGGCUGAUAUAAUUUGAUGACCUGUGGUUAAAAGCUCUCCAAGGAGGAACAUUUAUUGACUUAAUUUGGCAGUCCCAUCAGUGACGUGUAUCUAAAAGUUGUCAGGAAAAAAAUAGAAGCAUGAAAAGCAGAAUGAUAACAUGCAGAUAGCCAAAUUCACAUACCCUGGUGUGUACUCUGGAAUUAUGACUUUCUUUCCAAAUGCAGAAAAUGAAUAUCCAAGGGUUGCUGCUGCUGCAUCAGACUGCGUGGAGGCAUCAACUAUUUGUGGCAGACUAAAAGAUGGACCUGAUGAAGGCUGCUUCCUGACUAGUGAAAUUACAGUGACCGUGGCCGCAAUACCGAUAGCAAUUGCCACUUUUGCAAGGAAUGAAGCACCCGGGGUGGUAGAUUCUACUGCUUCCACUGCACCAAUAAUCGCAUUUACAUCUUCCCCACCUGAAGAAGUUUCUGCCCCGGACACUGAUGCCUUUGCAGUCCCGGAGACCAAGCAGGACAAGUUGCGCGAACUGUAUAUGCUUGCAAGAAACACAGAAUAUUUAAUGUAACAAUCGCAUUGCAGCUAACAGUUUCACCUAAAGCCAGCCCUAAAUCCAUCGAGGCGGUUACUCAAAUAUCAUAAUUUGUUCAAAUUUGCAAGAAAUUUCAUGAAUCUACAGAACAGCUAGAGUUCAGACUCUGAUCCGGCUAAAAGAAGCUCCAGAAAAAAAAAAGAAAAAAAAACUAACCUCCUAAUGCGACCGCGUGCAGCGGCGGCGGACCGCCGGGCUCCGGCAGGGGAUGCCGCGCGGUGGCGGCGGUAUAGGCGAGGAGGCGGCGGCGGAGGGGAGCCGGAGUGCGUGGCGACCGACGCCAUGGGAGGAAGGAGGAGGAGGUGGUGUGCGUAUCGGCGCCAGUGUACGUUGUGUGGCGCCAAGCAGGGUGCUGCAGUGGAUGCCGAGGAUGAUGGGCCAGCACCCCACCCCAGCACGAAACGGAAUAUUCCGUGUCCGUAUUUGAUUUACUCAUUGGAGACAAAUACAAAAUGGAAUUUACAAUUAGGGAAAUCUAAAUUUGCUGUAUUUUUACCUAUCAAAACAGAAAUUCAGUUUAACAAAAUCGUGCCAUGCCUCCUGUUGUGGUGCACCUGUGAAUUACUGGUGGAUCGGGUUGCUACUCCAACUGAUGAUGACCAAGAAGUGCAAGCAUGGUGGACUGGCCAACUGAAGCCGUUGGCAUAAAACAAAGGCGAUCCAAGGUGGCGAUUACGACCAUCACAGCAUGGAACAUAUGGAAUGAGAGGAAUAGAAGAAUUUUCCAGAACCAGGAGCUUCGGCCAAACAAGUUCUGGAAAAAAUCCAAGAGGACAUUGCACUGAGACGUAGAGCAUGUGGGCACCCUGAAUUACGUGGUGUAUCUUAAUUUCCAUUUUAGAUGUUUAAGACUCGAGUUAAUCUCUUUAUCUGUAAUAUCGAACUUUAUGUAACCUUGAACUUCUACCUUCUUAAAUGAAUGAGCCGUGCUCCUACCUUUAAAAAAAUUACUGGUGGAUCUUCUUUUCUCGCCUUGAUUGUCCACUUUCAAAUGUCAAGCGAUGAACCAAGUAAUAAAAUUUUUUAUAAAAAAAACACACAAAUUUUAUGUGCAGGUUGCGGCACACAAGCAUGAACGGGCAGGGUUAAAUUUCUCUGAUCUGUAUUUCUGUGCAGGUUGAUGACAAUUUGUAUAUCUAUUUCAAGAACAUUAUGUUACAGACUUACAGUACAUUUGAGGAUGGGGCACACACGGAGAGAACAAAAGGAAAUGCGCUAGUACAAUGCCAGUCACCAUGGAAGGAUCAGUGCAGGAAGCACAGGGACAAGAGGGCAACAAUGCCAGCUCCCAAGAGGCUGUUCUUCCCGGCGUUGUAGCUGGCCGCCGAGGAGGUGUUGUCAGCGGUCCCCGUCGGCGCCAGCGCGUCGGCGGCGAUCACAGCUUUGACAGAAGGCAGCGGCGGGUCCACGACGUCCUUGGGUUCCAGCAACGGCGCCGGCCCUGCCGCCGGUGCUAGCGCCCCGGGGGCUGCCAGGUGGACCAGAGCACCGGGUUGCGCUGGCAGGAUCGAGUAACUCAGGUUCAGGCUCAUGUCACUGCAUGGACUCCCUGCAGUUCAUAGAUAGUAUAUAUGAUUCAAAAGCCAUUUUCUCUGAAAUUUGUAUGUUUGCAAACAGGUAUUGAAACAGAUUUAGUGUUCUAGAUCUGGCAAAACUCUUUGGUAUAGUUGUAUCUGAAAAUUAUUCGUGGAUGUUUUCAGUGGUUACAGCUGUCUUUGAGGGUGUCAGGUACUCACUGAAGUAUGAAGCUGCAGUGGCAGGGUAGUCGGUGAUGAGCCCGUCUGCCAUCACCGCCGAGGAGUAGGUGACGAUCUCGACGGUCGGGUCAGCGAAGUAGUCGAAGCCAAGGUUCAUGAACUCGUUCUUGAGCACGCCGAUGAACACGGUGAGGUUGGCGGCCUGCAGGCUGCCGACCGUGUCGGUGAACCGCGUCAUAAAGUACCCGGUGAUCUGCGCCACCGAGCUCCGGUGGAUCCUCACCCCGUCGGCGAAUUUCUUGAUGUCGUCCAGCGACGGCUGGGAGGCGCCGCUAAACUCCAUCUCGAGGUUGAGCACCCGCUUGAACGCCGGGAACUUCUUGAACGCCGAGAGCACCGACGAGUCAUCGGACUGGAUGAACACCUGUUGCUUGGUCUCCUUGUCGUAGCCGGCCUUGGUUAGCGCGCUGGACACCGACUCCACCACACCGAGACCUCUCUUGGCGAGAUAUGAGGCAUGCUGCACGCGUGCAUCCCGCACAAGAAUGCUUGAUCGGUUUUUUCUGAAAACAGAAGAAUGAAAGAACGUCGAACGAACUGAAUGUUGGUUACCUCCAUUUCGAUCAGUAUGCCGGAGACGUUGCUGGCCUUGGCCAUGUCUAGGAAUUGGGGCAAGGUCAGGAACCUGCCGGCAUUCUUCGAUGCAGGAUUUCUCUUCAGGCCUGCCUGAGCAAACGGAGAGAAAAUAUCGGCUGCUCAGAAGAAAAAGGGAACAAAGUCGUCAGUGCCUGACAUUCUGGUAUUGAAGAAAACCAUGAACAAGCAAACAAAUGUGCCUCACGUACGCUUCAAUGUUUGGAUCUCACUCCAUGACAGUUCGAACGAGAAGAUGCCAGACUUGUUCUGAAUCUCAUGGACAGUGGAGCUUUUGGACACGAAAGCGGUGGCCGCGGUCGUGUGGGGGGAGAGAUCGGCAGAGUGCAUGCAGAAGGCCACUCCGUCUUUUGACAUCUGAACCGAGCAAUCUAUGAUGUCGGCAGCAUCUUUGAUCGCCUCCUGGUAGGCAAGAUCUGUGCUCCCAGCAAAGACACCGCUAGCCCCAUUGUGGGUGAUGAUCAGCGGCCUGGUGUCCUCUACAUUUGUAUAGGGGGGGUAAGUACUAAGGAUGAUGAUAAUAAACUUACAAAUGACGUCGUGAUAGUAAACAUCCAUAGCUUACUUCCAGGAGGUGCUAGAGGAUUGCCCUUAGAAUGAGCCAAGCAAGCUGUAAAAAGCAAAACAUUUAAGAGAUUUUAUUAACGAGCAAAAGAAGGUGAAUUGCUAUGAUAUUAGAGCAUAAUGUGCAGAUCUCUAUCAUUUCCAAAGAAACAUGAAUUAUUCAGGUUUUCUCCUUCCAAUUCCAACAUGGAAUAGUUCUUACCAAUAGCUCCUGAUGCAGUGGGCGGGAAGUCCGUGAGCACACCGUCGACAGAGAAGUCUGAAUUGUCUAUGAACUGCAAGUACUCUGCACUGGGAUCAUAGCUGUAGUUGUAACUUGUAGCGAUAUCAUUGGCAAAUCCAGACGCAUAGACUUCGAGCCCCAGGGCAUGCGCAUCUUUGACCAAACUUGUGGAUGGUGACAGGUACUGAUCUUUGUUCAGUGGCCAGAUGUAGGUCUUGGGGACAAGAAUCCCGACUGCAAAAUCCUUGAUGGAUUUCAGGUCUUUCAGGAGCUCCCCAUAUGUCUUCUUGGUUGAAGGCUCAAUGACAUCUUCAUUGAGGAACCGGAAGACGAGUUUCGUCUUGCUUUUCUUGAGUUUCCCACCCAGGCUUUUCAAGAAAUCAAUCUCUGUCGAGGAGAUGUAAGUGAGGCUAAAUUUUUUUGGUAGUCCUAAUAUAUAAUCUUCAGUACUUAGUUUGUGCUCCAGAAAGAAUGAAUUGUACUGCAAAAUGGAACAUGAAGUUAUGUUAAAUACGUUACAUGGUAAAAUUAGAAGAGAAAAGGCUCGUGAAAUGACUGAAAUCACAUUUACCUGUACAUUAAGCCAUAUUUGAGGGGGGCGGAGUUCAACAAUAUCAUCAAGCGUGUACAUUCCCAUGGAGCCAUCAAAUGUGCUUGGGCGAGAAAAGAUGUUCUGGAUUACUAAGGAAUGAUCAAAGGACAGCAUGUUAAGUCAGCAAAAUUCCAACAGCAAAAUGAUACUUCAGAAUCGUUAGUUCCAUCUUAUUUCCAUCCUAUUUUUUGGCAAAACUUCAUCCAUAUGGAUCAGGAAUGUAGCAUGCAUGGAAUGUUUAGUUAGAAAGUAGUGAUGGUUCUUUUCUGCUUACACGUGACGUUCUGAAUCAGCUGGUCCGCGGUAAAAUCUAGAGAGAACCAGCCAUGGACAUCUUCUCCGUGCACCUUGUAUGUCUUUUCCAUCUUGGGGAAGACCUCUGAGACUGUCGUCGAGUUGUCAAGGGUCAACCCUGUUUUGCAGAAGCCCGUGCUGUCGCUUGAGAAUUGCAGAUCGCAGAAGAGAACAACGUCAGGCAAGCUGGUCGACAAGACAAACUGGUAGGCGUACUGGCUUGAGUCAGGGAACAAGCCAGAGAAUCCUCCUCGAGCUAUGACUUGAGGGGGACGACCUGUAGGAUGAUAUCACAAACAUUAGGAGCUUGAUGACAUGGCGCUGCAAUUGAACAUCAGAGCGCUUGAGUCUUGAAAUUGCAGAGAAACCAAAUGCUAGAGUGCUUGAAAAUCUUGAUAGGUGAAAUAAUAAAAAUAACAAAAAAAAGAAAGAAAUAGGAAAUAUGAUACCGCUCAGAGUCUGCCAUUUUGGCCCUGCUGGAGCAUUUGAAGCAGCAUUGGCUCCAUGAAGCAGUAAGAAGAUCAAAAACAUGUGAGGAUAGCUUGCUCCCAUUUGUUCAGGAGGAGCACCCUGCAUUACAGCACAAUGUUGUGAGCUCCAGCAAAACACACGUAACUAUGCUCUACAAGAAUGCAAUGUAAAGAUUAAACAAUAAUCUGCUACUUUUUUUCCUAAAGAAAAGAGUCAUCAGGCACUUCAUGAAUUCAGACAAUAACCGGAGAAAAAAAGAACAGCCAUGCAUAAACUAAGGAAGCGAGCAGCAGCAGCAAAGAAUUAAGUUAAAGAUCAGAGAAAAAAUAUACUAACAUUCAACGAACACGAUUAUUAGUUCAGGAGGGAGACAACCUUGCACCGCACAUGAAAUUUCAGACAAAUCCAAGGUAAAUUGAAAUGUAAAGGUUUGAUGAUAGAAGCAUACCUCACAUGAAACUCCCAAGGAGAAAAUUGAGAGAAGCUGUUCUCCGGCCCCACCGAGGCUAAGGUCUCCAGGGACCCUAUAUCAGCUUGUGGAGAGGAGAGAAAGGAGGAGGUUUCAGGUCAAACCUUCUAAAAUUAGGUGGGAGAAUGCUCACAUUCUUUGCGUUGGUGAGUGGCAUUGGCACGAAGUCACUAUGACAAAACUAACCGGUCACGAUUCACAACAUGUUAAGGAAAAAACUGACCGGUCACAGUAAGGUAUGCACGGUACAUCACACGGUUCGCGCACAGGCAGCCCGGAGCACACAUAUAAAUAUGUUCUACCAUGCGUGCGAUCUCGUGCCUUUUGGUUUUGUUUCAUUCUUUGCUUUUGCGGCUUGUAAUGUUAGAUUGAUCUUGCAAGAAUUGUGCAGGCUAAAGUAGUGUGGCAAUUCACUGCUGAAUACUCAUUAGGAUGUUUGAGGAAACUGAUCAAACGCCGCCAUGUCAGAGAUGAAGCUGCAUAUUACUCCUAGACUAUGCAGUUGAUGCUGAGCAGGUUCAUUCCAGGCACCCUAUAUCAGAUUGUGGAGAGGAGAGAAUGGAGGAGGUAAGGAAAACGUUCUAAAAUUAGGUGGCUACUGAAUGAUGGCCACCUUUUAACAGGCUGCAUAUAUCUGGCUGGCUGUUUUCAUCGGGGGACAAUUUUUAACGCCUGAAACAAAACUAGCCGCUGCGUUUGUUGUUGUAACUGAUCGCCUAUUGUUGUAACAGCGGCUUUCUUGACCUGCUUCUUGUUGAAGAAACAAAGCAGGCAUUAAAAAAACAACACAGGUAAAAUAUUUUCCAAACAUGUAACGUCUGGGAUUUACCACUUCCCACAUUUUUUUUGGCAAAAACUUUCUUCUGUAACUGCUCUCUUAUGAAAGAAAGAAAGAAUGUGAUACUUUUUUCUUUCUGAUUGUAGAUUCACAAAUUUCAAGGAAAUGACAAUUACUAAAUCUGCAAAAUAUAGUGCAUGAUCACGCAGAAUUUAAAAAAAAAACUUGAAAGAUCAACAGCCUGGUAAUGAUCUCCUAAGCCAAGAAUCACACAGGAAACAGUAACAGCAAACUUAUUGGAAUUUCUAGCUUCCAUAUAUAUGUUACAGUCAACCGUUCAACCCAGUACAUGGUACACUUGAAACAGAGCCCUAAUUUUACAUCAUUCAGGUCCAAAUUGCAUUUGCUCAAUUUCCUGCCAGCAUAUA
rnacentral:lncRNA from 1 species